CUAAAGGUAGUGCUGUCAUAGUAACUACGCGUAUUGAGAUGGUUGCUCUUAGAAUGGCAACAGCUUUUGUCAAGCACAUGGGGAGAUUGUCUGAAGAAGAUUCUUGGCAGUUGUUUCAACAGCUUGCAUUCGGGAUGAGAAGGAAAGAGGAGCGGGCACGCCUGGAAGCCAUUGGAGUAUCAAUAGUGAAGAAGUGUGGUGGUGUUCCUUUAGCUAUAAAGGCACUAGGGAACCUAAUGCGGUUAAAAGAAAGUGAAGAUCAGUGGAUAGCUGUCAAAGAAAGUGAGAUUUGGGAUCUAAGAGAAGAAGCAAGGAGAUCUUACCUGCUUUGAGGUUGAGUUACACUAAUCUAUCACCACAUUUGAAGCAAUGCUUUGCGUAUUGCGCUAUAUUUCCAAAAGAUGAGGUGAUGAGGAGGGAGUUGCUGAUUGCUUUGUGGAUGGCAAAUGGCUUUAUUUCUUGCAGAAGAGAAAUGGAUUUGCACGUCAUGGGCAUUGAGAUAUUCAAUGAACUAGUGGGAAGGUCAUUUCUGCAAGAGGUCGAGGAUGAUGGAUUUGGCAACAUAACAUGUAAAAUGCAUGAUCUUAUGCAUGAUCUUGCACAAUCCAUUGCAGUACAAGAAUGCUAUGAGACAGAAGGCGAUGGGGAGUUGGAAAUUCCUAAACUGCCCGUCAUGUUGCUUUUUAUAACAAAUCAGUAGCUUCGUCUUCUAAAGUUCUCAAGGUCCUCAUCAUCUCAAGAUCCCAUCACUUCGCUCACUUCUUUUGAGGAAUGAACACUAUUGGUCUGGAUGGGUAAAGAUUCCUGGUCAAAAACAUCGAGCCUUGAGUUUAAGAAAUAUCGGAGCCAAGAAAUUGCCGCAGUCAAUUUGUGAUUUGAAACAUCUAAGGUAUCUACAUGUGUCAGGCCCCUGGAUCAAAACACUGCCUGAAAGUACAACCUCUCUCCAAAACCUCCAGACACUAGAUCUGAGAGAUUGCAGAGAACUCAUCCAAUUACCGAAAGGUAUGAAACAGAUGAAAAAUCUUGUCUAUCUUGACAUAAAUGAUUGUUAUUCACUUCGAUUUAUGCCUGCUGGAAUGGGGCAAUUGAUAUGCCUGCGAAAACUUAACCUGUUCAUUGUGGGCGAGGAGAAUGGUCGUGGCAUAAGUGAGCUGGAAGGGCUGAAUAAUCUUGCUGGUGAACUGAGAAUCGCAGAUCUUGUGAAUGUUAAGAAUUUAAAAGAUGCCAAAAGUGCCAAUUUGAAGUUGAAGACAACUCUUUUAUCACUGACUUUAUCUUGGAAUGGGAAUUGGAAUGGAACAAACAGUGUUAUUCAGGAAAAUGGCGAGGAGGUCCUUGAUGGGCUUCAACCUCCUUCAAAUCUGAAGAGGUUGAGGAUAUGGGGUUAUGGAGGUUCAAAAUUUUCAAAUUGGAUGAUGAACAUGACGCUACCAAAUCUGGUAGAGAUGGAGCUUUAUCAGCAUGUAACCACUGUGAACAACUUCCACCAUUGGGGAAACUGCAGUUGCUCAAGAGUCUUGUAUUGCGUCGAAUGGAUGGUGUGAAGAGUAUUGACAGCAAUGUGUAUGGAGAUGGGCACAAUCCAUUCCCAUCUUUGGAGACGCUGACUUUUCAGCACAUGGAGGGAUUAGAGCAAUGGGCUGCGUGUACAUUUCCUCGCCUUCGAGAAUUGAAGAUAUUUUAUUGCCUUGCGUUGAACGAAAUACCAAUUAUACCCUCCGUCAAAUCACUGCACAUCGAGGGAGUGAAUGCUUCGUUGCUGAUGUCAGUUAGGAAUCUCACUUCUAUCACCUCCCUUCAUAUAGAAGAUAAUCUAGAUGUGAGGGAGCUUCCCGAUGGGUUUUUGCAAAAUCAUACCCUCCUUGAAAGCUUAAAAAUUGUUAGCCUAACAGGUCUGGAGUCUUUGUCAAAUAGGGUAUUAGAUAACCUUUCUGCUCUUAAAAUUUUGAAUAUCAGGGGUUGCGGGAAACUUGAAAGCUUGCCAGAGGAAGGUCUUCGUAACCUCAAUUCCUUGGAGGUUUUAGACAUACAUGAUUGUGGAAGAUUAAAUUGUCUGCCAAUGAAUGGGCUGUGCGGCUUAUCUUCUCUUCGCGAGUUAUUUGUUAUACAAUGUGAUAAAUUCACAUCUCUAUCUGAGGAGGUGCGGCAUCUGACGGCACUUGAGAAUUUGAAGCUUAUUAAUUGUCUAGAGCUGAAUUCAUUACCAGAGAGUAUCCAACAUCUCACUUCUCUCCAAUCUCUAGUCAUUGGGGGUUGUCCAAAUUUAGAGAAAAGGUGUAAGAAAGAUUUAGGAGAGGACUGGCCUAAGAUAGCUCACAUCCCUUACAUUGAGUCGGGAAAUACAUAUGCAUUUGGAUUUUUCAAUUCUAAUUUCUUGUAAUUGUUUAAAUAACUUUAUCAAAUUCAUUAUUGUUAUAUUUUUCAUAUAAAUGUGUAAAAAUAAUUGAUUCAUGAUUUUAUUUUUGUUAAAACUUGUAUAUAUUUUUUAUUUUAAUCACUCGCACCCUAAAGCACGUAGAGCAUCAAUACAAACAAACUGGAAAAUUGAAAUCUAAUCAUUCGGAACAAUAAACAACUUAUUACAAAACAAUGGAGACCUCCACUAGAUAUAAUGACAUUUAGAGCCAACCAGUAUACGGAUAACUUCAUUUAAUAAAAAGUUCUGAAUAGGAAAUGAAAUUGUUUUAGGCUUAAUCUCUUAAAUAUUUUUAAAAAAUCUAUUUAUAAUUUUAUCUAAUACUCUGUAUUCACCUUAAAUACAAAAUGAAAUUUCUCAUAUUUUCGGGCUAAGGAGCCAGACAAGUUCUACCAAUAUAUAUGUCCAACAAGUUCUGGGGCAGAUAAUCCAAAAUUGAACCUAGCAGUGGAUUCGAAUUUGUUGAAAUUUAAGUGUGAUCAAGUGUUGGUUUGUGUGGCAGAAAAGGAUAAGCAUAAAGACAGAGGGGUGGUUGAAUCGCCGUCGUUAGGCAGCGGCUAGAUUUCUUUUCCUCCACUUUAUUUUUUCUCUCCUCCGCCCACCUAAAAAUUCAAAAAAAUCAUAAUUUUUUGUAUUAUUUCAAUUGUGGUUUUCGUUUUUUUUACUUUAAUUUUUAAUUUUUUUUAAUCUUAUUUAUUUUUAUGUCAGAUUUGAUUUAUUUUUAUUAAUAUUUAUUUUGUUUUUCACUUUUUUUAAUUGAUUUUCUUUUCAAAUUUCUUACCUAAUUUUUGUUUUUUUAAGAAAAUUGUCCCAAUUCUUUUCAUUAUAAUUUCUUUCGGUUUCAUUUAUCUUUUUAAUUGUUUUUUUUUUAUUUUAGUUUCACCACUCAUUGUUUGAUUUCAUUUGAUUCUCAUGCCAAAUUUAAUAUUUAUAUUUUUAUCAUUGCUUUUCAACUCAAUCUAAGAAUCAAUCCCGAGCAAGUUCUAGGUUAUGGAUCGAGUAAGAUGACCAAGAAUACCCAAGUAAACUUACCCUGAAAACAAUAUCCAACAGGUUUUUUUAAAAAAAACUCACAAAAAGAUUGUUCUUAAUAUUUUUAAUCAUGAGUUUUAAACCUGGCCUGGAAGUCGACUUCCAGGCAAGUCUUGGACCAAAGGUCGGGUGGAUAGGCCAGGGUUACCAAAACAACUAUUUUUUUAUUUUACAAAUAUGUAAAAAUGAUAUUAUUUUGGUCAAAAGUUUACAAAAAAAUCAAUAGGUUUUAAUAAAAUUUAACAAAAUAAAUUCAACAAUUUAAAAAAAAUACAAAGAAUUUCAUUAAAAAAUUGAAUUCUCAUUAUUUUAAUCAUUAUUUUUAAACCUAGCUCAAGGGUUGACCCCAAGUAGCUCCUGGUCACAAAUCAAGUAAGUUGUCCAAGGAUAUUUGGAUCAGCUGAUUUUUUAUUUUGCAAGAAUAUAAAAAUUACAUUGUUUUGAUAAAGAUUUAACAAAUAAAAUCAACAGUUUUUAUAAAAAAAAAUUAACAAAAAAAUUAUUCCUCAAUCCUUUGAUUUUGGUUUUUAAUUAUAUUUUUUUAUUUUAUCCCUUAACAUUUAAUUUAUUGAGGAUUUUGCUUCGUGAUUUUUUUGAAGUUUCCCUUUUAUAAUGUGGCGCCCACUUUAUAACCAAGAUUGUAAGUUUAAAUGUUAGUUUUAGUGGAUUUAUAUAUUUUUUAACAUUUUUAAAAUUUUAUUUUUUAAAAUUUGGUUGGUUAUGAACGAAGUUUUUUUUUUUUUAAGAUUAUCCCGAUCUUAUAUUCUAAGUUACGGAUUUAAUGGGUUGACCUGAUAUAUAUAUAUAUAUAUAUAUAUAUAUAUAUAUUUCAUGUUAAUUUUUUAUUAAUUUGGUUUAUCUACUAUUAUUAUUAUUUAUGUAAGUAUUAUUAGAUUAGCUUUAAUUAUUAAACUCGGUCGAUUUAAUACACUAAUUCUUUGAAAUUUUUUUAAAUCCUGAAUUUCACAUGAAAUUUUUUUUAUAUUCAGAAUAAAAAUAACUCGAUUGUAUACUAUUAUUACCAAAACUCUAAAACAUGUUGGAAUUCACCAGAACUUUAAAACAUGUUGGAAUUCAACUGUAUAUAUACUAUUGACCAAAAAACAAUAAGCUGUGUACUCGCACAAUUAAUUCUCGCGGCUUUUGAAAGCCAGUUUGCUUUUGGUGUAGGCUUAGAGAGGCUUGGAAGAGCAGGCCAUCAGCUUGGAAAUAGCUGAAGAAACAGGCUGAGAGACAAUGAGCUUGCACAGCUGAUUUUCGCGUCUUGGGAGCUGUGUUCAGCAGCGGCUUAGGCAUGGGGAUAAAAUAUAUGCAUGGCUAGUCAGUCUGCACCGUGUGGAGCCCAAGCGACUUGGGCAGCGCGGGACGAAGACUUUUACUAACCAAUAAGCAAAUUCAAGUAGACAAAUUUUGUCUUCAAAACACAGCCAUGUUGCUUCUCUGAAACUUCAAUUGCUGCAGUCCCUUUUCGGUAUUGCUGUAUCUUUUUCUUUUAAAUUUUUUUUAAAAAUUUCUUUUUACCUUUAAAAAAUAUUAUUAGAUAAUUUUAAUGUAUUAAUAUAAAAAAAAUAAAAUGAAUGCAGUUUUAAUCCUUUAAUAAAAUGGAUCCACCACAUUAUCAAUCACUAAUAAAAAAAGAGAUCGAUAGCAGAAGAAAAGCUCAUCACUAUGCUCCCUCUCCUUGUCCACUAUCAUGGUGGUGGCUUUUGCAUAGGCUCUCCAUUUACUUCUGCCUUGAAGAAUUUUCUUUCAACCCUAGCCACCCAAGCCAAUGUCAUCGCUAUAUCUAUUGACUACAGGUUAGCACCUGAACACCAAUUACCGAUUGCAUACGAUGAUUCAUGGGCAGGGCUUCUGUGGAUCGCGAAGCACUCUAAUAGUAAUGGACCCGAACCAUGGAUUAAUGAAUAUGCGGAUCUCGGGCGGGUUAUUUUAGCCGGUGAGAGUGCUGGAGGCACCAUAGCCCAUCAUGUGGCGGUCCAAGCUGCGGGAUUGGCUGCCGUGGCUAUAGAAAGGUUAAUAAUAGUGCACCCAUAUUUUUGGGCUAAGGAGCCAGACAAGUUCUACCAAUAUAUAUGUAUCCAAAAUUGAACCCGGCAGUGGAUCCGAAUUUUUCGAAAUUUAAGUGUGAUAAAGUGUUAGUUUGCGUGGCAGAAAAGGAUAACCAUAGAGUUAUGAAGCUAUGAGCGAGUGUGGAUGGGGUGGUACUGUGAAUUUUUAUGAAACUAAAGGGGAGGACCAUUGAUUUUAUUUGCUGAAUCCCAAGAGUGAGAAUAUCGAGCCCCUGAUGAAAAAAAUGGUUGAUUUCAUACGGCUGGAUUGAUUUUUGGAGUUUUAUUAAGUGGGAAUCAACAACUUAAUUUUCAGCAAUGGUGAGAGCAGAAAAAUAAUGGUUGAAUUUAAGGUUGUUUUGUUGUUUGGAUUGUAUUUGUUUUUCAAAUUUUUAAUAUAUGCACUUUCAAAUGCCAUAUAAAAUGUGGCAUUAUGUUUAUUGCAUUCUUUUGGUCUAUUUUGGCUUGGCAGCACUUUUGUUUUUUAAAUAUUAGUGAAAUAAUACAAAAUAAAAUUUUUUUGGUGAAACAAUACAAUUUAUAUAUGUCAAUGAAUGGAAAAUGCAAUAUAACACAUUUUAUACAUGUCAUGAUUGAAAAAUACUAUAUUUAUAAUUUGUCACUAUUCGAAAUAUCAACUUAUGCAAAAAAAAAAAAAUUAUGAAAAGAACAAGAGAUAUGAGAGAGAAAGGAAUCAAAAAAGAAAAAGAUAACUUCUAAAAAAAAUAUCAUCAACAAUGACUCAAGUGAGUGACACUUGUCGUCUAAAGAUGACAGGUGACUCAUUUAUUUUUGAUGGCAAUUGUGGUCCACUUGGGUUGCCGUCGUUGGUCUUCUUUGUUGUCAUUGUAUUUGUCUCGUCAAAAUUAUUUUUUGUUGUUGUAGAAGUUGUUAUUCUGAAUAGCAAUAAGCUAUAAAUAUCGUGUUUUCUAAUUGCGACAUGUACAAACUAUGAUAUUUCACUAAUUAUUUUUAAUAAUAUAUGUUAUUCUACCAAUAUUCUUAAUUUAAUGUGCUAAUGUUUUCUUUUAAAUCAUUCAUUUGCUUCCCUGAUUUCCUCAUUUUAGGUGCAAACAAAGUAAAAUAUCAUAAAGUAAGUAUUUCAUGCUUAUAUUUAGUCAACUAAUUUGGUUUAAUUAAAAAAUACCUUGUAAAAAGCCAAUUUUUUAAUAAAGAACAACAAUAAAAAAAACCCUAAAAUAACCCAAGUUAUUUUCUAAAUUAAUGAGAAAUCUUGUAGAAAAAUAAAAUAAAAAUGUAACGAAGUUCAAUAUUUAGUUAAAUAAAUGCUGAAGCAUAAAAUUAAAAAAAACAAAAACACGAGUUCAAAAAAAGGGAAAAAAGAGUGCAAGCAAACUCAGAAAAAUCUUCUAAACCUGAAUUAAUUUUCAAAUUCACAAGUCAUAAAAUUCUAGACCCGAACUCAAUAUCAAAGCUUAAUCCUCAAUUAAUUUAAUAUUAAAUAAUGUAAUAAAAAAUAUCAAUUUUUAAAAUUCUAUUAAGAAAAAAUAGCAAAUAAAAAAAUGAGAAUCAAAUUUGAUAGAAAACAAUUAUUGAGGAUCAAAUCAUAAUAAAAAUUAAAAAUUAAAAAUUAUCUCAAAUAAAGCAGAUAGCAAUCAAAAGAUUAUGGAUCAAAUAUGGCAUAUGAAAAUAUGAGGAUUAAAUUGAAAAACAAGUUUUAAUUUUAUAAAUAAUUUCAAAUAAAACAAAUAACAAUUAAAAAAAUAGAAAUUAUAUCUAAAAAAACAAAUUAAAGAGUCGCUAUAGAAAAUUAGAGAAUCACACUUGAAAAUUAAAAAGACAAAAAGAAAAUAAUAAUAAUUGUCACACCCCAAAAAAAAUCCUUCCGGCGCGCGGCAUCGGCUGGCGAUUUUUUUAUCGUUUUGUUGUGUUAGCUUUGAAUUCGUUUGUGGGAGUCGCCACCUAGUAAUUCAUUGAGGGCUACUAGGAAACCUGAUGUACUGGUCUUGUCAGAGAUCGCGGGUAAGGGACUGGUUGUGGUUAGGGAAGGUAUUAGCACCCCUAACACACCCUACCUGAGGUAAGCUGCUUUGUGUUCUGAUGUGAUUUGAAAAUUUAAAAUAUUAAUUAAAUUCUAAGGCUUGAAUAAAUAAGUUAUUAAAUCCCCGAAUAUAUGUAGAAACUUGUUCUUACAUUUUCAUGGAAAAUACAACUUGAUUUUAUUUGUCCUUAAGAUAUUUAACCAUAUUUAAAUUAACAAUUAAAUCUUUUUGUCUUUUUUAGAUUUUUAUAAUUCAAUAACAUAAAAUAAAAAUACAAACACACACAACUUUCUUUUUAUCAUUUAUUUAUUUUCUUUUCUUUUUUCUCUUUUUUUUUUCUUUUACAACACAAUACAAAUACAAAUACAAAUAAAAAAUCAAAAUCAAAACAAAUAAAUAAAAAUUACAUUAAUUAAUUCAAAAUUUACACAAUAGUCCCUAAAACUCCAAAAAUUGCAGGGAAGGACUUCUGGGGACUGCGUGAACAGUGGCGGCGCGUGGGUCCACGCGCCGCCGUGAGAAAGAAGCUGGAAACGGUGCGAUCUGUCUCAGCCUCUUCUCCCCCUCGUUUCCUCACCGGCGGUGAGAACAACGUCACCUGCAAAACACCAAGAAACGCAAACAGCAAUGUUCCCGGAUCUGUUUCCUUUUUAGAUCUAUUCUCCUAUCUUUUCUGUUUUCAUUUCGUUGUUCUCUCCUUCUCCAGGUGAUAGAUCCGGUGGUUGUGGAGGAGUGCUGGAGACCGGAGGCGGACAGAUCGGAGAUCCGUGGGCGCCGCUGUUUCGGGCUGCUAUUGGAGGUUCCGAUCCGGUUGAGGAGCUGCGAAGAACAAAGGGAGCAGCUGAGAGGAAGGAACUGUGGAGGAGGAGCUGCUGCCGUUGGAGGACGCCGCUGAUGGUCUGGAGGAAGAGAAGACGACGGACAUAUAUGGGUCCGUGAGCACCGCUGUGUUCGGGCUGAAGAGAUCGCCGGCGAAGAAGACGCUGCUGAGGGGGAAAGCUUCGGGUUGAUGGAGAUGAACAGGAACGGCUGAGAGGGGGAUAAGGAAGUUGUCUUGGCCGGCUGGUUUGGGUCCGGUGAGGGAGAAGAAUGGGAAGAAAAACAAAUGAUCUGGGGCUGUUUUUUUUUUUGGGGCUGUUUGGCUGGGGUAAAAAAACCAAAGGGUGGGGGGCUGCUGGCUUGAGAAAGAAAGGGAGAAGAUAUCUUGGCCGGCGGCUGGGAAAAAUUAAAACCAGAGGGGGGGAAAAGAUGGUGGAACCGGCUGAAGAAAAAAACCAAAAAAUGUGGGGGGCGGCUGCUCUUCAAAAAAAAAAAAGAUUAGGUUUAGGUUUUUUGUAUUUUUUUUAGUGUUUCCAAAAUUAUCCCCCCCUUUUGCAAGUGUUGGACACCAGUAUUUAUAGGCAAAACAUAUUGACAAGUUUUCAACAUUGGUCCCUUAACUUUCUUUUUUUGUAAAAUUUAAUUUUUCUUGUUUUUUUGUAUUUUUUGAAAACGAGCAAUAUCAACGUUGACUCAAAUGCAGAAAAUCAAUGAUUUUAAAAAUGACGCGUGAAAAGUCGAACGCGUUCGAAAGACCCUUAAAAAUUUAAAUUCUUUUUUUAGACGACGUUGAAAAUGCUAAAAUGACGAAAAUAUAUUAAAAAACAUAUUUUUUGGAUUUUCUUUGUUUUUCUCUAUUUUUGGAUUUUUUUAAAAAAUAUAUCAAAAACAUGGGUCAAAAAUUGGGUAGCAACAGAUGCCCCCUCUUUACAAUGCUUACGAAGCAAAAAUCCUCGAUGUUUUGCAUAGUAAGCUUUGUAAAGAAAAACUUAUCUUUUUGUUUGCUCAAUAUCCACUUCAUCAGCAAUCUUCCCUUCUUUUUUUUAUCCUGAGAUCCCAUCUGACGACCUCCUUUAAUCAAAACCAAAGAAUGUGUGUAGCUCGGUCAACCCGAAACCCCAAUGGAGAUUCCCUUUAACCAAAGCUACAUGAGAUCCCAUCUGGCGACCUCAUUCAACUGGAACAAAAAUAUUGUGUAACUCGGUUAACCUGAAAUCCCAUCUGGCGAUUCCCUUUAACCAAAGCUACCCGAGAUCCCAUCUGGCGACCUCAUUUAACCAAAACAAAAGAAUGUGUGAAAAAUGGUCUCAUUGUAUGGGUGACGAACCCCAGAAAAAUGAUGGUCUCAUUGUAUGGGUGACGAACCCCAGAAAAAUGAUGGUCUCAUUGUAUGGGUGACGAACCCCAAUGGAAAGGAGGAAGAGCGGUCUCAUUCUUUGGGUGACCUACCCAGGGGGGAGAAUGGCCUCAUUCUUAUGGGUGACCUACCCAGGUAAAAAAAAAAGAUGGAGAAUGGUCUCAUUCUAAUGGGUGACCUACCCAGAUAAACAAAAAAUGGAGAAUGGUCUCAUUCUUAUGGGUGACCUACCCAGAAAAAAUGGUGGUCUCAUUGUGAUGGGUGACCUACCCAAGUGGAAAAAGGAAGAGUGGUCUCAUUCUUUGGGUGACCUACCCAGGGGGAGGAAUGGCCUCAUUCUUAUGGGUGACCUACCCAGGUAAAAAAAAGAUGGAGAAUGGUCUCAUUCUAAUGGGUGACCUUCCCAGAGAAGAUGGUGGUCUCAUUGUGAUGGGUGACCUACCCAAGAUGGAAAAAAAAUGUGAAGUGUGGUCUCAUUGUAAUGGGUGACCUACCCAGAUGGAAAAAAUAUGAUGAAGUGGUCUCGUUGUGAUGGGCGACCUACCCAAUAGAAAGAAAUGAAGUGGUCUCAUUGUAAUGGGUGACCUACCCAGAUGGAAAAAAUAUGAAGUGUGGUCUCAUUGUAAUGGGUGACCUACCCAGAUGGAAAAAAUAUAAUGAAGUGGUCUCGUUGUGAUGGGCGACCUACCCAAAUAGAAAGAAUGUGAAAAACGGUCUCAUUGUAAUGGGUGACCUACUCAGAUGGAAAAAAUGUGAAGUGUGGUCUCAUUGUAAUGGGUGACCUACCCAGAUGGAAAAAAUAUGAUGAAGUGGUCUCGUUGUGAUGGGCGACCUACCCAAAUAGAAAGAAUGUGAAAAACGGUCUCAUUGUAAUGGGUGACCUACCCAGAUGGAAAAAAUAUGAAGAACGGUCUUAUUAUGAUGGGCGACCUACCCAGAUGGAAAAAAUGUGAUAUGACAAGUGUGAAAAAUAGGACUUACCUGGCGAAGUCAUGAGGGGAUGACAGAAGAAGGGCUGGAAAACUUGGUGCUUCCUGAUAAUUCCCGAUCAUAGGGUUUGAAAACUCGGUGUUUCCUGACUGCAAGGGUUGAAAACUCGAGGCUUCCCGAUUGCAAGGUUGAUCUUUCAUUUCUUUGGGAUUUUCCUAAUGGUAGGGUUCAUCCCAUCGUCCUUUUAUUCCAUGAUCAAAACCGAUUCUUUAUUAUCAUCACCACAAUGCUUCUUUCUUUUUCCACCAUCUUGCUGGACCUCAUUAAGGAUUUUCCUGUAACAAUUCAAAAAUAUGUGCAAAUGGUUUUUUUUUUUUUUUUUUUUGAGGUUAGAUGAUAUGCAUGCAUCCUUACCUGAUUUGAAAUAUAGGUCCCCCCCUCUUUGAUGCUCCAUCGUCAUAGGGUGCCCUUGUUUGUAUCCCAAAGCUUUCUUUGUUCUUCCGAUGCAUUGGCUCAUUCAUGUGUUAGCCAUCCACUCAGCUGUAAAUGCAGUGCCCAUCCCGGGCUGUCUUCGACAAUUACUGCUUGCAUCGUUCAUCAAGCUUGACCCUGCCCCCAAGUGUGGUAUGCUUGAUUCAUCAUGAAGAUUUUCUCUCUGGAUUCUUCUGAGAAUUAUCCUUGAUUGAUUGUGUGCAUCAUGCCAACACCCAUCAAGAUUGUUAAUCAGUCAUGAACUUGCCUUCGGUUGAAACACCAUUCAAGUAUGUAUGGUCACCAGCCUUCAUGGAACUGCCAAGUCAUCCAGACAUGAUCUCAUGCUUUGCAGUAAACAGCUCAUCAUUGUAAGCGCGAUGUAUUUCUCUAUGGAUUCCUCUUAGCUUGUCAAAUCAGAUCGUGAAAAUAACUGCUUUGGCAUCAUCAAUGAUGUUCAUGUUAUCACCCAUAUUCAUGCGGUGAAGUGCGCAUUUGAGCUUCAAAUAGAUGGUCCCAGUCAAUCUUGGUGGUAUGCAUAUGUUCGAUUCAUCAAAUGCACUCACCCGAUAACAUCUGUCAGGAUAACCAUGUUUUAAGUAACCAAGAUGAAGAUAUGAAAAUAUCUUCUAGUGCAGCGUUGCUCAUCAAUUGCUGCUGAAGUGCACUAGAUCAUGGAUUGUCUUUGAACAACAUUGCCCCAAUAUGAUCUGAAGCUCGUUCAUCGUUUAUACUCAAAUGGUUUUCUUUGUCAUUGUCAAUGCUAAACAUAACUUUGGACUUUGAUGACUCAUCAUCUGAUUCUUUCUUUGCCCCCAGCUGAUCUGGAAUUGUUUGUUUUCUUCUAAGGUCCACUGUAUUGCCCCCAGGUGGUCAACGUUUCAAGGAGUGUCGAGAAAUGUUGAUGUCAUUUUUGUCAAGGAUUUUGCAAACUCAAUUGAUGUUCUUGUUUGAAAAUCUUUCUUGUUCUGGAAUCAAAUCUCACAUUUCAACGAUCAUGUCUAUUCAAGUCUAAUUGUUGAAAUGAAAUCAGAGAGAUGUCUGUUUGAAAUUAUUUUUUUUUUUGAAAUUCAAACUUCUUUGGUCAAAGACCCAACACACUAUUCAAUGCAGUCCUUUGAUUGUCUUGUAUUUUGAAAACAGAAAUGACCCGUUGUAAGAUUUAAAAUGACUUUUUCAUGGUUCUUUGUGUCCACUUUAAACUCUGAUUUUGGGUAUAUCUUUUGAUGGUCUGUGAUGAGGUGACAUUUUUAUGAAUUUCAAAACAAGAUGCUCAGGCUUUAUCAAGAAAGGUUGUUUCUUUUCUUAGCAUUUAUUUUAUCAGCAUGCAUAAUAACCAGUAGCUUAAUUCAUGAAGUCACGACCCUUAUGGAAAAACUCUUCAAGUUUUGAGAGCGCCAUUUAUCGUUCAAAUUGCUUGCUUGAUUAAAAAGGGCUUUUAAAAGCACGUAAUGCAGGCUAUGGUUCAUGGCUAUGAAAGAAAGAAUUUCAAAGGCUCAAAAGGUGUUUGAGGGUUUCAACGACCUAGGAUCAACAUUAUUCAUCGAUUCUCUUUCUCUUGUGUCAUUGUAGAAAAGUGACAUAUAACCUUGUUAAUCUCAAAUAUCAGAAUUCUCUUAACAUAGGUAAUAAUCCAACUUUUCUUUGAUGAAUAACCAAUCUAACAAUUUGAAGACAUUAGAGGCUUUAUCCUAGACACACCAAAAGAUAUGAAGCAUCGAUUUUUCUAGUGUUGACUUUUGGCAUUUAUUGUCUUUUCUCAAUUGAAAACUGUCUUGCCUCUCUUAGAAUUGUAGGCAUUUUCUUUCAUUUCCUCAAAGUUUUUCUUGGAUGGCCCUCAAUCUAUGGAUUUUCUUCUUCUAGCCCUUUCUCAAACAUUGGACUUUUGUUCUAAGCUUUUCUUUGAUCCAUUGAUUUUAUCGUGUCUCCAAAAUAUUUCUCAUUUGCCCCCAGUGUGGGGUGUGAUCCUAGUCAGGGUUUUUAUGAAAAAAUAUUCAUCCAGCUCAAAAUGGGACUACAAGGGAGAUAAUUUUUAGAAAGUGAAGGAUAUCAAAGAUGGCCUUUUCUCAUUUCAAGCAAGGUCGGUUAGAACCGAUAAAUUUUGACCUCAUCUAGUGUAAUGAUUUGGACUUGUAAGAGUCAUGAUUCACGAGUCCAUAACUACCGAAUCCACUACAUGUCAUUAUGCAUACUGCUAAAACUUAGCUAUAUGAUGUGUGGUUCAGUUUAAAGUAUGAGUUCAAAAUUGUUUGGUCACCUCAUGUCAUUUCAACAAGAAUCGAGUCAUUUCUGCAAUCAAAACACUUUUAAUCUUCAGGAUUGAUUAACCUUUAUCGCAUGUUGGAGUUUGAUCAAAAUAUUUUGUCAAAAAAAUGUUAAACAUCUGUUGAUUUCAAAACAACAAAGAGACAAAAGCAAGGCAUGUUUCGUUGAAGGAUGAGAUGUGAUCCCAAAACAAAAUGCAAAUUCCAAAAAAUAUGAUUGACUGUUCAACUCUUGAAUCAGCUUUUCUGGCAAUAUUUGCGUUUUGCCAAGCACUUUCGAUCAACAUGUCAUUCUGAAGAUGUUCGGGGGACAAUAUAGCCAAUGACACCCUCCUUCACCGACUCCACUUGUCUCUUGCUCACCAACUUUCAGACUCAAUUCUUGCAAUUCUUGAAACUGUUCACUUGAAAUGGUUGAGGACCCCACCAUGACAUCACAUCUCUUAUCUGGAUUAUACCACCUAGAAAUUGGUGGUUGCAUGGGAUUUGUCGGAGUCAAGCAAAAUUCUGGAAUCUGGCAGAUGCUGGUCGACAAACUUAAAGUGGCAGAGGAAUGUCCCAUCUUGGCAAAGACAUUUGAGCAAUUGAUGCUACCGUGAGACCUGGCUAUACCACAUAAUUAAGGGCUCACACCGUCAAAGUCAUCUCCUGAUUCACCUCUCAUCAUUGUUCUAGAAUCCAUGGCAGAUCCUUCAAUCUUUCUUCUCUUCAUAGCUUGUUCAAUUCUUCGGCAAAUCCUCACAACAUUAUUUCAAUCUUCCAAUGUUGCUUGGUUGGUUGAGGAUUGUUAGAAAACUUUCAACAGCUUGGUAAUCUUGGCAGGCCCAGAAACUUGUAGUAUCGCCACUACCGACGUGUGGAAUCACACAUCUCUUAUUGGAAGAAAAUGAUGAACAUGAAUCUCUCUUUGUUCUUCGAUUUCUCUGACAGUGCAGCAAACAAACACCUAUAGAGGAAGUCCUGCUCUGUUGAAGUUUCAGUAUUCUUCAUGUUUUUCAGUCUAGGCAUGUCUCUUCUCUCUACUUUUGCGUUUUAAUACUGACACUGUUGGAGGAAAAUCAUAGAUGAUCUGAAACUACUGUAUUCCUUCUUGGAUUUCCCACUUGCGGAUCCACAAACAGAUUCCUGCUGAGAGAGCUCUGCUACGUUGAAGUUUGAUGUCUGCUCAUAUUUUUCAGACCAGGUCUGGCUCUUCAACCUACUAAAGGUCUUCGUGCUGAAACUGAUGAGAGAAAUAUUUGUAGCAUAUGCAACUUAUAAAUCCCCUCUUGCAUUCCCAAUUUGCAGAGCCAUAAAUGGAUUUUUGUAGAGAGAGCUCUGCCACAUUGAAGUUCAGUGUUUAAUCAUGGUUUUUCAGACCAUCUUGUGCUGCUGAACUGGAAUUGAGCUCAUAAUUGGGGUAACUUCAAAGCAGACUAAUGCACCAUGAACAGGAGGCUAGUAGUCGUUUGGUUCCAUUAGAUGAUGUGGAGGCGAUGAACACUUAACAGUGCAACUGGACAAGAAUCAGAGUUGUCAUUAGUUGAUGACUGAAGGCGUUGUUGCUGUUGUUCAUGACUGAAAAGGAGAGAUACAGCUUCAAUUGGACGUGAACAAGCAGUGUUCCCACAGAAGACUGUGCAGACAUUCUCUUUCCAUUUGAUGCUCAACACUUGUUCGAGCAGAUCUGAGUCCAGCUAUUUCCCUUUGAUGCUCUCAAACUAACUGAUAAUGAGCCUCUAUCUGACAUCUUUCUUCACUUCCAUCUUUCUUCAAUCACGUGCAGCACAGCUUGUGGGGGAACCUACUUUCAACCCGGUACAUGCAUGAUAAAUGUAUGAACAUGUAAUCUAUAUGACGAACUCACCCUUCGAGGGUGACAAUAUGGUCGUAACUCUUGUAUGAUGGACAAGAAUCGUGAUUUUUGCCCAAACUCUACAAUGAAAAUUUUCGGAGUGACGGCCAAUGUGUCACCCACAAGUCUUGAGUUCAAGAUGCUUCAAGAAGGGUUUGCUCGGAUGCCAAAACAAUAGCACAUACAUCCUACAGGCAGUCUAUUCAUUUUACGUGAGACAGGGUAGGUUUGCUACUUGGUCUCUAAAAGGGUCUCUUGUUGUCCCAGUGAUCGCCUUCGUAAAGGCAAUAUAGGGGCCCAGUAGGUAAUUGGUUGGCACGUGUCCAACUAUUACCAGUCUAAGCACUCAACAAAGAGUUGGGGUUUACACAAACUUAAACCUUGACUCAAGUCGUAAGGUAAGCUGCUAGUCCCCCACCUAACCUAAAGCUGGUGUGUGCUUUCAAAAAUUAAAACUUGUGAUGCAUGAGAGAAAUAUAUACAAUGCAUGAAUAAAACACAAAUAAAUAAAACAAAGCACACAAAAAAAAAUUGAACACAUCAAAACACAAAGCUUAGUCCGAUAAAGUUGAAAACAAUACCAGUCCCCAGUGGAGUCGCCAUCCUGUCACACCCCAAAAAAAUCCUUCCGGCGCGCGGCAUCGGCUGGCGAUUUUUCUCGUUUGUUGUGUUUGCUUUGAAUUCGUUCGUGGGAGUCGCCACCUAGUAAUUCAUUGAGGGCUACUAGGAAACCUGAUGUACUGGUCUUGUCAGAGAUCGCGGGUAAGGGACUGGUUGUGGUUAGGGAAGGUAUUAGCACCCCUAACACACCCUACCUGAGGUAAGCUGCUUUGUGUUCUGAUGUGAUUUGAAAAUUUAAAAUAUUAAUUAAAUUCUAAGGCUUGAAUAAAUCAGUUAUUAAAUCCCCGAAUAUAUGUAAAAAACUUGUUCUUACAUUUUCAUGGAAAAUACAACUUGAUUUUAUUUGUCCUUAAGAUAUUUAAUCAUAUUUAAAUUAACAAUUAAUCUUUUUGUCCUUUUUUAUUUUUAUAAUUCAAUAACAUAAAAUAAAAUACAAACACACACAACUUUCUUUUUUUCAUUAUUUUUUUCUUUUCUUUUUUUUCUUUUUUUUCUUUUACAACACAUACAAAUACAAAUACAAAUAAAAAAUCAAAAUCAAAACAAAUAAAUAAAAUUACAUUAAUUAAUUCAAAAUUUACACAAUAGUCCCUAAAACUCCAAAAAUUGCAGGGAAGGACUUCUGGGGACUGCGUGAACAGUGGCGGCGCGUGGGUCCACGCGCCGCCGUGAGAAAGAAGCUGGAAACGGUGCGAUCUGUCUCAGCCUCUUCUCCCCCUCGUUUCCUCACCGGCGGUGAGAACAACGUCACCUGCAAAACACCAAGAAACGCAACAGCAAUGUUCCCGGAUCUGUUUCCUUUUUAGAUCUAUUCUCCUAUCUUUUCUGUUUUCAUUUCGUUGUUCUCUCCUUCUCCAGGUGAUAGAUCCGGUGGUUGUGGAGGAGUGCUGGAGACCGGAGGCGGACAGAUCGGAGAUCCGUGGGCGCCGCUGUUUCGGGCUGCUAUUGGAGGUUCCGAUCCGGUUGAGGAGCUGCGAAGAACAAAGGGAGCAGCUGAGAGGAAGGAACUGUGGAGGAGGAGCUGCUGCCGUUGGAGGACGCCGCUGAUGGUCUGGAGGAAGAGAAGACGACGGACAUAUAUGGGUCCGUGAGCACCGCUGUGUUCGGGCUGAAGAGAUCGCCGGCGAAGAAGACGCUGCUGAGGGGGAAAGCUUCGGGUUGAUGGAGAUGAACAGGAACGGCUGAGAGGGGGAUAAGGAAGUUGUCUUGGCCGGCUGGUUUGGGUCCGGUGAGGGAGAAGAAUGGGAAGAAAAACAAAUGAUCUGGGGCUGUUUUUUUUUUUGGGGCUGUUUGGCUGGGGUAAAAAAACCAAAGGGUGGGGGCUGCUGGCUUGAGAAAGAAAGGGAGAAGAUAUCUUGGCCGGCGGCUGGGAAAAAUUUAAAACCAGAGGGGGGGAAAAGAUGGUGGAACCGGCUGAAGAAAAAACCAAAAAAUGUGGGGGCGGCUGCUCUUCAAAAAAAAAAAGAUUAGGUUUAGGUUUUUUGUAUUUUUUUUAGUGUUUCCAAAUUAUCCCCCCUUUUGCAAGUGUUGGACACCAGUAUUUAUAGGCAAAAACAUAUUGACAAGUUUUCAACAUUGGUCCCUUAACUUUCUUUUUUUGUAAAAUUUAAUUUUUCUUGUUUUUUUGUAUUUUUUGAAAACGGCAAUAUCAACGUUGACUCAAAUGCAGAAAAUCAAUGAUUUUAAAAAUGACGCUUGAAAAGUCGAACGCGUUCGAAAGACCCUUAAAAAUUUAAAUUCUUUUUUUAGACGACGUUGAAAAUGCUAAAAUGACGAAAAUAUAUUAAAAAACAUAUUUUUUGGAUUUUCUUUGUUUUUCUCUAUUUUUGGAUUUUUUUAAAAAAUAUAUCAAAAACAUGGGUCAAAAAUUGGGUAGCAACAAUAAUAAUAAUAAUUUAUUGUCACUAUACUGGAUGUUUGGUGUCGCACCCUUGCUGCUGAGUGCGGCGUCGCAGCGACCCUCGAUUUUAGUUUUUUUGUUUAUUGUGUAAGGGAGUCGCCACCUAGUAUUAUGGUCACUAGGAACCCUGGCUGGUCUUUCAGAGAUUCUAAGGCAAGGGACUAGUUGUGUAAAGGGAAGGUAUUAGCACCCCUAGUACGCCCUACCUAAGAUAAGCUGCUUGGUGUUUGGUUUGCUAUGGUGUUCGUGUUUCCCCAUCAGUUUUCCUAGGUUUGAUUUAAACUAAAAUUAUUAAUAUAGAAAUCCAAGGAGAUUCCAUGUGCUUUAAAAGCUCAUUUUCUGUUAGUAUUUCAAGAGUUUGCGACUCGUAAAUAGCAAGGAAGAGGGACAAAAAUUUAGAAAUCUAGUGCGUUUUAAAAGCCUAUUUUUACCUUAGUGUUUUAUACUAUCACGACUUGUAAACCGUGGAGUAAAAAAUUAAAAUGUCAUCGAUUAUAAUCAAGGCUUCUUUCAAGGAUAUGUGAUGAAUUAUUAUUCCUAAAAAAAUAUUUUGAAUAUUUACCACUUAAGGUUUCUUUAUCCAAAUAUUAACAGUGAAUAGUAACAAGUUAUUCCCAAUAAUAUUUUGAAUAUUCAUUCCUUUGGGAUUUCUUUAUCCAAACAUUAACGGUGAAUAAUAGAUGAAUUCCCCCCAAAAUAAGAUUUUUUUUUAUUUUUUUUGAAAUAUUGACCAAUACCCUUUGGAGUUUUACAAACAUGUUGUAAAAUUCAGAAAUGCAAGAAAAUAAUUUUUGUUAUGUUUAAGAAAUCCAUGCGAAAAUAUAUUUUUGAAACUUCAAAUAUUUGUUUUUUAUAUAAAAAAACAUUUAAAACAUGUUAGGGUAUUGGCCGUAUACAACACAUAAGAAAACCAAUUUUGAUAUAUAUGUAUAUUUGUCGUAGUUGCGUCGAAAACCGGAUAUUCUAAAUAUGAGAUUGGUAUAUAUUGUUUUUACAACAUAAAAAAAAAAAAUCCGACUUUAAAAUAAAUAUUCCAGAAAAUAAAUCUCUUUCUCUUUCUUUUAUUUUUUCAAAAAAAAAAAACAAAACAGUAAGUCCGGCUGGGUCACUUGCCCAAACAAGUGAUUCGGCUGAACACAAAAAAAAGGGCGCAGUUAUAGUUCAAAGAAGGCUGGUGAAUACUGUUCAAGUGAAUUAAGUGCAAAUUCAAAAUAGAAAAAUGCAUGCUGCGAGUGAAGAGAAAAACAUACUUGGGAACGGAAGCGAAGAAGCUGCAGCGACGUUGAAAGCGUGAUGGUUGAUCCGUGUUUGUUUGUUUCAAAUCUUUUCCUCCGCUCUGUAUUUGCGUCUGUUUUCUGGUUUUUCUUUCCUCUGCAUCUUCAUCAGUCCCUCUCCAACGGGUUCCUGCACUUCCUUCAUCCCUGCUGCAGAUCUUAUAUGCAAAAAAAAAAAACCAAGACCAACAGUAGUCCCUGCUAGUUUAUGGUUUCUCUUCUCUUUUCCCUUUUUUCUCUUUUACUAUCAAUUUUCCCAACCUCACAGUAACACUGGCGAAUGAAAGAAACUUUCUCUAUUCUAUGCGUUUUUCUCUUCUAUCUUUGGCUGUUUUUUUUCUACUCUUUUCUCUUGUUUUUUCUUCUUUUUAUGCUUUUUUUCUAUCCCCAUUAGGUCAUUAGAAGGGCUUAUAUAUAGUCUAAAUAUAUCUCUAUUUAGGAAAGAUUCAAUGCAUUAAUUCUAGGAUGCAAAUCCCUUCUGAUUUGUAGUAAAAAAAAGCAAAAAGGAAACUUAAAUAUUCUGAUUCUAAUGUCUGAUUUCUUUUCAGUUUUUUAGAGGAUUGUGUGGCUUCAUUCUUUUCUUCCAUAGGGCCAGCUGCUCCCUUUGAAAUGAGGCAAUAAAAAUAUGGUUGCAGCUCCAAAAAUCAGGUGCGAUGAUAAAGGGAAACAACAGGAAUUUGAAGAGAAAAAAAAAGGAAAGAACUCAACCGGGAAGGUUCGUGCAAGAAAGAAAUCAGACGGGAGAGGGGUUGUUCUCAAAAUGACAAUCGUAAAAAAGAGAGCAAAACGUGAUCAACUCCCUUAUUUUCCUUUUCUGAUCUAAUCUCUAUUCUUCAAUUUCUUCAUCUAGCAAAAUUUCUUUCUAAUUUUACCUUCAAUCAACUUCCUUAUUUUAGCACCUUUUCCAUUUGGUCCUUUUGCCAAAAAAAAAAAGAUUCAAAUUGGCCUGCAUUUGGUCUUCAAACUUUUAAGCAUCUUGCAAUUGUGUCCCUACAAACUUGGGCAAAAAUCCUUCUUGCGGUAGAAAUCCCUACUUUCACACUAGAUAUUCAAACAGGAAUAUCUUGUCGAAAUCAAGCGAUUCGAAAGCUCAAAUUCAUCUACGUGUCCUGGACUACAACUUUGAUGAAGGAUUCAAAGUGAGAUAAAUUCGUUUUGAAUAACAGAAUUGUAACCAAACUCGGCUGGAAACCUUCUCGCGACAGGAUCUAAGUUUUCACGCUAGAUUUCAAACAGGAAUAUCUUGAGCUUCUGAUAUCGAAAUCAAGUGAUUCAGAAGUCCAAAUUCAUCUUCGUGUCUAGGAAUACAACUUUGAUGAAGGCGUCGAAGUGAGAUAAAAUUUUUUUGAAUAACAGAAUUGGAACCAAACUCGAUUGGAAACCUUUUUGCGGCAGUAUUUUAUGUUUUCACGCUAGAUUUCAAACAGGAAAAUCAAGUGAUUCAAAAUCUCAAAUUCAUCUACACGUCUAGGAAUACAACUUUGAUGAAGGAUUUGAAGUGAGAUAAAAUCGUUUUAGAGAACAGACUCUAGCAGUAAUCUAUUUGGUCAAAAAAGAUCUUCGGGUCUAAUUUAGAAACUGACAAUGUCAAGCAUCCCGAUAUGACUGAGAGUAUGAACUAAGAACAAAAAUCACAAAAUUUGUGAUGGAAAUAGAGUUUUUUUUUAGUGCAAACUCAGGUCAGUAUCCUUCUCGUGGCAGAAUUCUCUGCCUUCUCGUUAGAUAUUCAAACGGGAAUAUCUUGAGCUUCUGAUAUCGAAAUCAAGUGAUUUAAAAGCCCAAAAUUAUCUACAUGUCCAGGAAUACAACUUUGAUGAAGGAGUCGGAGUAAGAUAAAAAAAUUUUUAAAGAACAGAAUCUGGCAAUAAUCUAGUUGGUCAAAAAGGUUCUUGAUCUAACAAUGCUGAGCAUCCAAAUUUGACUUAAAAUUUGCCCUAAGAACAAUGAUCCCUAGGACCUAAUAAAGGUGUAGGUCAAUUUUUCAACAUGUCAUGAGUGACAGAAUAUAGCUAGGAUGGUUAGAUAUCGUACGAAACCAAGUCAGAAUCAGAGCCUAAGUUGGAACAAAAAAUUGCGACAGUAGCAUAACUAUUUUUUAGUGCAAAUUCUGAGGGAUUUAUCCAACCUUAAAAACCAGAUAAAAAAGAAACGAAUUUAACAUUAUGAAGACUCCUGAUCAACCUAAGAAAACCUUAUGAUUUUGAUAGCAAAUGGGAAGGAUAAAAAGAGUAGAAAACAACUCAAACAAGGUUUUGAAAAAAAAAUAUUUAUUUCUCUGCUUUUGUCAAUCUUCUGGCUAACAUGAGCUAAACUCCUACACUUAUUUCAAAAGAGGUAUACACCGUCUCCAGCACGUGAGAUCCAAAAUUGAGUAACAACAUUUGGUGUCCACAACAUUCUUCAUAGAUAAAGGAUUGCCAAAAUUAUACUAAUGUUGCUUUGGAAGCCACCGUUAACAAUGAUACCAUUAUACUCCGUGUAGGGAUUAGAGCAAUGGGUUGCGUGUAGUUUUCCUGCCUUCGAGAAUUGGAAAUAGUUUGUUGCCCUGUGUUGAACGAAAUACCAAUUAUACCCUCCGUCAAAAAAUUAGACAUCCAAGGAGUGAAUGGUUCGUUGCUGAUGUUAGUUAGGAAUCUCACUUCAAUCACCUUCCUUUUUAUAGUAGAUAUUCCAAAUGUGAGGGAGCUUCCCGAUGGGUUUUUGCAAAAUCAUACCCUAUGUCGCACGUGUGCGGCGGCGCGGCGAUCGUCCACCCUUACGGAAAACAAAAUGGAAAAUAUUUAUUCCUGGCAAAUAGGGAGAGACAAGGAAAUUCUUGUCUCUAUAUGUGAAAAAAUGGACUGGGAGUCGCCACCUAGUAUUCUGGUUACUAGGAACCCUAACUGGUCUUUAGAGAUCGGGUACGGAGACUGGUUGCGUAAAGGGAAGGUAUUAGCACCCCAACUACGCCCUACCUAAGGUAGGCUGCAUUGUUUUAAAUGUCUGAUAACAAUCUAAAAUCGUGUUGUUUUUUUUUUUAAUUGUUCGGAAUACGCAUUACAUGUAAUGUCAUAUCCCGGGUUCUAUUGUCCGAAAAAAGAAUUAAAUAUCCGGAAUAUGCAUUACGUUUAAUGUCAUACCCCGGAUACUAAGAGACAAACAAAAUAAAAUUUUUAAUUUUUUUUUGUAUUUUGUGGAAGUUUUUGAUGAAAACCGGGUAUUUAAAAAUCAGAUUUUUGUAUUUUUAACAACAUAAAAUACCACCCAAUAUUAAUUAAAAUGACAUAAAAACUACGCGGAAAAAUUAUAAAAUGCUAAAACAAAUAUUUUUGAUUUUUUUUCUUUGAAAUGGGCCGGGUCAGGCCCAAAUACAUGAGCUGGGCCGAACCUGGCCCAAAUGCAUGGGCUGGUCACUGUGCACAUAGUAACUGGGGGGUACUGUACACACAGUGACCAAAGAAUUAAUUAGCAAAUCCACAGUAACCGGGGUUACUGUGCACACAGUAAUGUGAAUUAAUUAGCCAGUUACUGUGCACAGCACAGUAACUCGCUAAUUAAUUCUGCAGAACGUAAACGUUCUGCAUGAACUGAAGCAAAAAAAACGACGGGAAAGGUAAGACGUUACCUGGAGCUGUGUUGAUGCUGGCAGCAGCUGAUGCAGCAGGGGUGGCGCUGGCGGUUCGCGGUGGCCGGCGGUUUUCCUUCUCUCUCUCUCCUCUGCUUCUUCCCGUUUUCUUCUCUGCUUCUUCCCUUAUUCUUCUCUGCCUUCUCUCCUCUCUUCUCACUCUAUUCUCCCUUCUGUUACCUCUUAUGUUCCCUCUCUCUCUGUCCUCCUUCCUCUUCUCUCUCCCCCCUCCUCUCUCUUCUCCUUUUUUCCCUCUCUAUUUAUAGAGCCCGUGAGCAUGUUUUUUUUCAUUGUGGAGCCAAGGAACAGGUCAUGCGGCGGCUGGUCGAGCGCGGCUGUCCAGGCGUGCCUCCCUCGGUUUCGGCGGUGCGGUAGGUGGUCGCCAAUGUCUUCGGUCGGUGGGCUAGAGGACCGCGGUCGGUGGGUUGAGGACCGACGUCAUUAAAUAUGCAUUCUUUCCCUUUUUCCUGCUGUAUGCUCGGUGGGAAGGAAGGGGAACAGUGCCGUUCAAAAACGCACUGUUUUGAGCUUUCUUUGAUUUUUUUUUUUUUUUUGUAUUUUUUUUUUUUUAUGAGGAUCCAAAAAUGGGUUACAACACCCUCCUUGAAAGCUUAGAUAUUGGUUGGAUGCCAGAUCUGGAGUCUUUGUCAAAUAGGGUAUUAGAUAACCUUUCUGCUCUUAAAAGGCUGAAGAUUUCGUUUUGCGGGAAACUUGAAAGCUUGCCAGAGGAAGGUCUUCAGAACCUCAAUUCCUUGGAGGUUUUAGAGAUAUGGUUUUGUGGAAGAUUAAAUUCUCUGCCAAUGAAUGGGUUGUGUGGCUUAUCUUCUCUUCGCAAGUUAUCUGUUAAAUAUUGUGAUAAAUUCACAUCUCUAUCCGAGGGAGUGCGGCAUCUGGCGGCACUUAAGGUUUUGUGGCUUAAUGAAUGUCCAGAGCUGAAUUCAUUGCCAGAGAGUAUCCAACAUCUCACUUCUCUCCAAUCUCUAUUCAUUUAGGGUUGUCCAAAUUUAAAGAAAAGGUGUGAGAAAGAUUUAGGAGAGAACUGGCCUAAGAUUGCUCGCAUCCCGCACAUUACUAUCAUCCUUUGAUGGAUUGGACGCAUCAAUAUUGGAAUGACGGCGACAUUGGGGAUUGUAAUAGAUUACAGCAAUUGGACUUUUUGGCAUUGCAUUUAUGGGUAUAAAGAUUUCAUCGUAAUUUCCUUCCCCGCGUAGUUUCUUUUGGGGAAAUUGUUGUUCAUGCCUUUUCUUUCUUUACUUAGCCUAGUAAAUUACAAGAGCGAGACCACAUGAACCUUGAGUUACCAUUACCUUGUACUUGCGAUUCUACUUCAUACUAUCUUUGUUCGUCUUAUUUUAUAAAUCAUAAAUAUCUUCAUUAUGAGGAUCUUCUGGUGUGUUUUUGAUAACAUUUAGCUAGAGCUCUGAAUUCUGAUUUUCCUAGUUGAGGCAUCGACAUUGAAAUCAGGUUGCUAGAACUCUGAAUGCAUGUCCUGAGAAGUAGAACACCAAGUAGUCAUCUGCCAGACAUUCCUCCAGAAGCCACUUCAGGGCAUUCUGAAAGUUCUUUGCAGGAACCAAUCUUUAAUCAGAUUCUCCCUUCUGAAAAUCCUUUAUGGUUUUCAUUACCAAAGGAAAUGAUAGUAAUGUCAUCGAUCAAUAGCCAUAGAAGGAAAGGAAUCGAGUAGGAAAUUAUACUGAUGAUGUAAUUCUCGUUUUCUCACUGAUGAAAUACUGUUGAGAACAAGAUGUUCUGUUUCCAGAAUUGAUGUUACUAUCAGCAAAAGUGCAGGCUUCCUUGGUUUAGCGUCAGAGGAUGACAUGGAAGUGUGGCCGAAGGAGGAGAUGACAUUUCAAAGAUAUUAUGGUACUAGACUUUGGAUGGUGAGUAGUCAACUGAUGACCAUUUGCUGGCACCUAUUGGAAUUACAGGAUCCUCUCUGUUAUGCAUAAUCACCCCUGCUAAUCUGGCUGUAACAUCAGCAUGCAUAACCUUGAUGAAACCUUCAAUUAUGAGAUGAAAACAUAAAGAUCAGGUAAAUGCUCUAUGAAAGAAAACAAGAUUGACUUGCAUUUUUAAUUAAUCAAUGCACUUAAAAGACAGUGCUUAGAACUAGACUAAUCAACAAGUCUUGAGCUUGAUUCUCCCUGAUUUACAAGAAACAAUAAAAAAAUGCCUUAACAGAUGCCAAUGGCUCCUCCAUUUAGAUUUUAUAGGUAAACAGUGCUGGUAACAUCAUGGAAAAUCUUUCUAACCUCAUGUCCAACCCUCGUCAUCUAAUCUGUUUGACAAACACCAGUUGUUACUGCAACAACUGGUGUUAGUCAUGGAGCCACUUUUAGCACGCUUCAAUUUAGUAGAUGCUGUAAUAAUAUUAUGAAAAUUUGUGGUGGAAAUGCUGAUUGUGCUGGUUCCUUCGUGGUUGCUGGAUGAUGGAAGCUGAAAUAUAUAUUUUUAUGUGAGGUAUUUCAACAUAUAGGAGGAGUUGCCAUGUCUUUCUCUGAAAUCUAACCAUUGACAGCAACUCAUCAAGUUGUGUUUGGAACACUCCAAAAGACACCCCGCCGGCACCAUAAAAUAAAUUUUGUCCAAAGAAAAAUUGUGUUGUAGCAACAUAUGAUCUGAUGACUCGGAAUAAUUAUAAUUAAAAUAGUUUAAAUAUAAAUUCAAUAUUAUCCUAAUAGCUUGAAGUUUAUUAUAGAAUUAAACCAUAAAAAAUGAGGGAGGGAGGUUUCUGGGUGAUGGAAGCUGAAAUAUUUUUUUAUGCGUGUACAUGAUGAACGAGUUGAUUAAUUAUUCAAUUAAGGUUUGAUUUUAAUUGAUCCUCUACUAUUUGCAAAUUUGUCAACUAGCCACAUUUAUUUUAAGUUUUCUUUCAAUAUUUAUCUAGCAUUUUAUAUUUGGCAUUUGUUUUUCCAAUUUCACACUCAAUUUUUAAAAAAAUUCAAUUUUUAAAGACAUUUCAUUUGUAUUUUUAUUAAAAUUAUAUAUAUAUAUAUAUAUAUAUAUUUAUAAAAACAACAUUAUUUUAUAAAAAAUUAAACAAUUUCCCUUAUGCAAGUUAUGAUUGAGAAAUAAAAAUAAUUUAGGAAUAAAAUUGGUAAAAAAUAGUUGAUGAUUUUUUUCUGUCAAGCUAUAUUUUUACUUAACAUUUGAGUUAUUUUUAGACUUGUAAAAUCGAUUAUAUCACAUCAUGUAAAUAUCUAUAUAUAAUGUUUUAGAAAAUAUAUUAAGUGAAUGACCUCGUCAACUUUGCUAUUAAAAACAUAAUAGGUUCGAAUCAUUUUCCAUUUAUAAUAGUGUUUAGAUAAGUGAAUGACCUCAUCAACUUUGCUAUUAAAAACAUAAUACGGGCAACCAUGUUAUUAUGGUUUGGAUCGAGGUCGGGACAAGUGCUGGAGUUCAUGAUCUUGACCACCUAGCUUGUUUGAAUAAUUCUCUUCUAUCACCAUUUUUUUUUAAUGUUUGUUUUGAAUAAGUUAUUGAGAUUAGUUGUGAUUAUUAUGUCAUUCUACUGUCAUUAAGAAUAAAUUAGUUCUAACGGAGGGUUAAAACACAUAUAUCAAAAACUUUUUGCACUGUCUAGCAAAUGGAGAAUUCACAGCUUAAAGAGUUAAUCACGUUUACAAAUAUAGGAAGGAUUCUCAGUUGGUCCAGGUUUAAAACAGGAAAAGGCAUGCAAUGUUUAAUGGAAUUGACUGAUAAAAUUCAAUCCACUCAAGAUGAUAAGGAAAUGGGUGGAAAACAUAUAUAAAACUAUAUAUUAGAAUAGCAUACAUAACCAACAAGCAAAUUCAAGUGGACAAAUGUUGCUUGAAAUCACAGCCAUGUUCCUUCUCUGAAACUUCAAUUGCUUUAUUAUACUAUUAUAGGCAUAGCCAAGUCAAGCCUGCACCGCGUGGAGCCUAAUCAAUACAAUCAGAGACUGCUGUUUGCCUUUUCCAUUUUGCAUCUCAUACUGCUCUGUCUUCUCAAUAUUUACUUGCCAUUUCUUGCUCACCUCCCCUGCUUUUAGUUUUCCUUGCACCUUUUCUACCUCUUCUUUCCAUUCCAAAACAAGCUAUGGCUGAUGCAAUUCUUUCUGCUCUCGCGAGUACAAUCGUGGGAACUUGGAUUCCUUAUUUCUUCAAGAGCAUGGACUUGCUGGGGGCCUAGAGACUGAGCUUGAAAAUCUCAAGCGCACGUUCAGAACCAUUCAAGCUGUGCUGCAAGAUGCAGAGGAGAAGCAGUGGAAGAGUGAGCCUAUCAAGGUGUGGCUCAGCGACCUCAAGGAUGCAGCUUAUGUUGUUGAUGAUGUACUGGAUGAGUUUGCAAUUGAAGCUCAGUGGCUUCUGCAGCGAAGAGAUCUCAAAAAUCGAGUAACAUCCUUCUUUUCUUUUGGUCAUAAUCCACUAGUUUUUCGACAAAGGAUGGCUCAUAAAUUGAAGAAUGUUAGAGAAAAACUAGAUGCCAUUGCCAAGGAGAGACAAAGUUUCCACCUAACAGAGGGGGUUGUGGAGAUGGAAACAAAUAGUUCUGUUCAGCGUCAGACUUGGUCUUCGGUGAAUGAAUCAGAAAUUUAUGGAAGAGGCAAGGAGAAAGAAGAACUAGUCAACAUCCUGCUCUCUAAUGCAGACAAUCUCCCUAUUUAUGCUAUAUGGGGAAUGGGGGGACUAGGAAAAACAACACUUGUUCAACUGGUCUUCAAUGAAGCAAGUGUUAAACAGCAAUUCGUUUGAGGAUCUGGGUGUGUGUAUCUACUGAUUUCGAUCUCAGAAGAUUAACAAGAGCCAUCAUAGAGUCCAUUGAUGGUGCCUCUUGUGAUCUUCAAGAAUUGGAUCCCUUGCAACAUGCCUCCAACAGAAAGUUAACUGGAAAGAAGUUUUUGCUUGUAUUGGAUGAUGUGUGGGAUGAUUAUGGUGAUAGGUGGAAUAAAUUGAAGGAGGUAUUAAGGUGUGGGCUAAAGGUAGUGCUGUCAUAGUAACUACGCGUAUUGAGAUGGUUGCUCAGAAUGGCAACAGCUUUUGUCAAGCACAUGGGGAGAUUGUCUGAAGAAGAUUCUUGGCAGUUGUUUCAACAGCUUGCAUUCGGGAUGAGAAGGAAAGAGGAGCGGGCACGCCUGGAAGCCAUUGGAGUAUCAAUAGUGAAGAAGUGUGGUGGUGUUCCUUUAGCUAUAAAGGCACUAGGGAACCUAAUGCGGUUAAAAGAAAGUGAAGAUCAGUGGAUAGCUGUCAAAGAAAGUGAGAUUUGGGAUCUAAGAGAAGAAGCAACGAGAUCUUACCUGCUUUGAGGUUGAGUUACUAAUCUAUCACCACAUUUGAAGCAAUGCUUUGCGUAUUUCGCUAUAUUUCCAAAAGAUCACGUGAUGAGGAGGGAGGAGCUGGUUGCUUUGUGGAUGGCAAAUGGCUUUAUUUCUUGCAGAAAGAAAUGGAUUUGCACGUCAUGGGCAUUGAGAUAUUCAAUGAACUAGUGGGAAGGUCAUUUCUGCAAGAGGUCGAGGAUGAUGGAUUUGGCAACAUAACAUGUAAAAUGCAUGAUCUUAUGCAUGAUCUUGCACAAUCCAUUGCAGUACAAGAAUGCUAUAACAGAAGGCGAUGGGAGUUGGAAAUUCCUAAAACUGCCCGUCAUGUUGCUUUUAUAACAAAUCAGUAGCUUCGUCUUCUAAGUUCUCAAGGUCCUAUCACUUCGCUCACUUCUUUGAGGAAUGAAGAGUAUGGAUGGAUGGGGAAAGAUUCCUGGUCGAAAACAUCGAGCCUUGAGUUUAAGAAUAUCCGGGUGAAGAAAUUGCCGAAGUCAAUUUGUGAUUUGAAACAUCUAAGGUAUCUAGAUGUGUCAGGCUCGAAGAUCAAAACACUGCCUGAAAGUACAACCUCUCUCCAAAACCUCCAGACACUAGAUCUGAGAGAUUGCAAUAACUCAUCCAAUUACCAAAAGGUAUGAAGCACAUGAAAAGUCUUGUCUAUCUUGACAUCGGGUUGUUAUUCACUUCGAUUUAUGCCUUGUGGAAUGGGGCAAUUGAUAUUCCUGCGAAAACUUACCCUGUUCAUUGUGGGUGGGAGAAUGGUCGUCGCAUAAGUGAGCUGGAAGGGCUGAAUAAUCUUGCUGGUGAAUUGAGUAUCACAGAUCUUGUGAAUGUUAAGAAUUUAAAAGAUGCCAAAGUGCCAAUUUGAAGUUGAAGACAGCUCUUUUAUCACUGACUUUAUCUUGGCAGGAAUGGAGAUUACCUUUUUGGCCCUCUGUCAUAUGUGCCACCAGAACAAAGAAAGAGUGUGGAUAUGGAGGUCCUUGAAGGGCUUCAACCUCAUUCAAAUCUGAAGAAGUUGAGGAUAUAUGGAUAUGGAGGUUCAACAUUUCCUAAUUGGAUGAUGAAGCUACCAUAUCUGGUAGAGAUGGAGCUAUCAGCGCACCACUGUGAACAACUUCCACCAUUGGGGAAACUACAGUUCCUCAAGAGUCUUAAAUUAUGGGGAAUGGAUGGUGUGAAGAGUAUUGACAGCAAUGUGUAUGGAGAUGGGCAGAAUCCAUUCCCAUCUUUGGAGACGCUGGCUUUCUAUUCAAUGGAGGGAUUAGAGCAAUGGGCUGCGUGUACUUUUCCUUGCCUUCGAGAUUUGAGGAUAGUCGGUUGCCCUGUGUUGAACGAAAUACCAAUUAUACCCUCCGUCAAAACAUUACACAUCACGGGAGUGAAUGCUUCGUUGCUGAUGUCAGUUAGGAAUCUCACUUCUAUCACCUCCCUUGAUAUAGGAGGGAUUCACGCUAUAAGGGAGCUUCCCGAUGGGUUUUUGCAAAAUCAUACCCUCCUUGAAAGCUUAGAAAUUGGUGGGAUGCGAGAUCUGGAGUCUUUGUCAAAUAGGGUAUUAGAUAACCUUUCUGCUCUUAAAAGCUUGAGGAUUUUUGAAUGCGAGAAACUUGAAAGCUUGCCAGAGGAAGGUCUUCGUAACCUCAAUUCCUUGGAGCUUUUAAGCAUAAAGUAUUGUGGAAGAUUAAAUUGUCUGCCAAUAAAUGGGAUGUGUGGCUUAUCUUCUCUUCGCGAGUUAUCUAUUGGAAGUUGUGAUAAAUUCACAUCUCUAUCAGAGGGAGUGCGGCAUCUGACGACACUUGAGGAUUUGAAGCUUGAAGGAUGUCCAAAGCUGAAUUCAUUGCCAGAGAGUAUCCAACAUCUCACUUCACUCCAAUCUCUAAGAAUAUGGAACUGCGAGGGAUUAGCUUCUUUGCCAAAUCAGAUUGGAUAUCUCACUUCUCUCCAAUCUCUAUACAUUCGGGGUUGUCCAAAUUUGAAGAAAAGGUGUGAGAAAGAUUUAGGCGAGGACUGGCCUAAGAUAGCUCACAUUCCUAGCAUUGACAUUAGAUGAGAAUAAAUUUUAUUUUUUUAGUUUUAAUUUGUUGUAAUUUUUUAAAUAACUUUAUCAAAUUCAUUAUUGUUAUAUUUUUCAUAUAAAUGUGUAAAAAUAAUUGAUUCAUGAUUAUUAUGGGGACAUUGGGGAUUGUGAUAGAUUAUUGUAUAGAGAUUAGACUUUUUGGCAUCGCAUUUAUGGGUAUAAAGAUUUUAUUGUAAUUUCCUUCCUCACAUAUUUUCUUUUGGUGAAAUUGCUUUUAGCUAAAGAUUACAUGAACCACGCUACGCAAACUGGAAAAAAAAAUCUUGGCAUUCAAACAUAUUUUAAAAAACAAGAAAAUGUUGGGAUCUGGAUCAUCAACUCGGCUAGGCUAGAUCAAAUAAGUUUCUCCUAUCUCACAACAUCUUAUGCACCAAACAAAGAAAUCAAAAUAGCGACCAUUUUAAGAAAAAAUAACAUUAAUAAAAAAAUAACAAAAAUACAUUUUAAUCUAACAGGUGUCAUAAAAGAAUUGAGAAUCCAAGGGGAAGAAAUGAUCUAAGCAAACCCCAAGUGCGCUUCUGGACAUGCAACCCAUGUAUAAGAUAAUGAUAAUUUUUUAAAAAUCUUUUAAAAAAUAAAAAAUAGAAUACAAAGCGUAUAAACAGAAAAAAAAAAAAUAUUGUGAUCUUUCUAACACUCUUGAAUGGGCAAUUUUCAUUAUCUCCUCUCGAUGUUCCACCUAAAACAUGUAGAGUGAUUUAACAUGAUGACCCGUUAACAAAAUGCACCAACAAUAAUUUUUAUUUAAAUAUUAUUUUUUAAAUAUCAAACUGGCCCUGUUUUAACCCACAAUUACAAAAUAAUUGAAUUGAAAAGACAAAUAUACCCUUUCACCCUAGUUUAAAAAAUCUUGACUUAAGGAUGUAAUUAAGUAAAUAAAUUGUUCAUUUGAAAAGUAGAAAACGGGCCGGCCCUUGUCUUGACCCAAUGAUUACCAAAAGACCAAAAAAAAAAAUUACGAGUAACCUUAAGAACACAGUUAAAAUAUAUUUGUUUUAAAGGGCAACAAAGUUAAUUCAUUAUGUUUUUUUAAUUAAAAAAUUAUAAUCACCCCUCAAUUGAAGCAAUUUUUAUUGCAUAUCAAGGGCAUCUGAGUCAUUACACUAUAUAAUAUAUAUAUAAAAAUACAUUCUAGAUCCUAAUCAAAUUAAUAAUGAUAGAUAUGUCCAAUUACAAUUGGACCCUGAAAAUAAUGUAAAUGAGUUUUUUAAGGUUAAAAUAAUAAAUAUACUAUUGUCGUCCACAUUUCUCUAAGUUUGUGUGCGCAGUAAAUUCAAAAUUUGUUUUAGUUUUUUUUAUGUAACUUUAUUUUUUUGUUAAUUUUUAAAUAUUUUUGAAUUCACACCUCUUUUAUUUAAUGAAACAGGCCGCAUACUAUUUUCAGAGAUCCGUUUAAGAGGGGCAAUAGCAUCCUUGUGAGUGCAAUUUUGUUCCCUUAUAUCUUUCCACUUGAUAUCGCCACCACAGCUUGAUCUCAUUCUCUCCGAUGUUGAUGUUUAUUGGAUUAGUCAUAUGUGAAGCUUAAACUCAAGAUGUUGUUGCUGAAGGGCUCUGGUAUUUUAUUUUAAUUUUAUCCUAAUCCACCCUUACUUUCUUCAUUCUUUUUUCUUAUAAGAUAACUGCAAAGUGUUUUAUAAUUAUGAUUAAUGAGCAAUCUGAUAAAAAAAACCAGGAAUGACCUUGAGCAAGAAUACAUCUAUUGGUUGGUCUCUUGGUGGUUAUCCUGGUCCUCCGGGACCAUACUACUGUGGUGUUGGUGUUGACGAAGCCUUCGGCAUUGUUGAUGCACAGUAGACGGCAUGCCUGUAUGCCGGUAUGAACAUUAGUGGUAUGAACGGAGAAGUGAUGUCGGGCGAGGUAAAAUAAAAGAACGAGCAUAUCCCCUCUACCAUUUUGAUCUUACAGUUCUAGUUUAGAACCAUUCUAAUCUUGUUCUGUCUUACAACGUUAAAGUGGAAAUUUCAUGCAGUGGAAAUUUCACGCUGGACCUUCAGUCGGUAUCUCUGUUGGAGAUGAAUUAUGGGCUGCAGCUCGGUACAUUCUGGAACUAUUCCCAUUUCUAUUGUUUUCUGAAAUGUCUAUAUUUAUGUUAACAGAGGAUUACUGAGGUUGCUGGAGUUGUGCUUUCAUUCGAUCCUAAGCCAACUCAGGUCAGUUUUUAUUUCAUCGUACCCUACUGGAUGCUGCCAGUGUGCAUGUUUUCAGUACUUUUAUUGUCUGAGCUCUCAGGAAAUUGGACUUCUGUUUUGUCAAGAAGAUUGGAAAGGAGCGGGGGCACACAAAAAUUACAGGUUCAAAUUUUUUUCGUUGAUUGAAGCUUAAUUUAUUUGCUUCUUUGUUCCACACUUGCUAUUUUUUUUUUAAUCUUAUACUUGAAAAUUCUUCACAUUUUCUGUGCUAUGUCUAUGAGAAAUGAAGGAGGCUGUGAAGUCAUCAAGAAAGCAGUUGAAAAGCUUGGUAUGAGGCAUAAAGAACAUAUCGCAGUCUAUGGCGAAAGGGAUUGAGCAGAGACUUGUUAAUUAUUUGGAGACAAACCAUGUCCCACCAUGUGCAAGUGGGAAUCCCCCACUUUGCACACGGUGGAGGCAACGGUGGACACAAAUGAUGAUGUCCUUCCCUCAUCCCUUGUAUAUGUAUAUGAGCUGUGUGUGUGCAUGUAUAACAGUGUGUGAAGAGAAGAAGAGAGAGUUGCAGUUGUGUGAAACACAAAGAGAAACACAUAGAGAGAGCUAGGGAGAGUUGAGUUGAGUUGAGAAGAAUUUUCUCAUCCUCCUUGUUUUGUUGUUUGUAUUGUUUGUAAGCUUGAUUAAUACAAACCAAUAGCUCCGUGGAGUAGGCAAGUUGCCGAACCACGUAAAUUGUGUGUGUUUGAGUUCUGGAAAUAUCCCAACAACUGGUAUCAGAGCUUGUUCUUGACGAAGAGGGUGUUUGAUCCAAACUCAAAAAUCAAUGUUCUCAAAACGUGUUUUUGACCAUACCAUCGUGUAGAGGACAACCGGACGAAUCCACUGGUGAAAACCCGGCGAAGAACCGACGUCCUGCAUGCCCGCACGCGCCACCGCACAGACGGCCCACGCGCAGCAACGCGCCUCACGCGCGACACGCUCCUUCUUCACCCGUUUUUCUGCAAAACGGGUCGGGUCUGACCCGCCACGUCAGCCAAGUCGCACGGUCAACGCCACGUCACCUGCCACGUCAUCCAUCUGGGUUUUGAUCUGGUGCACCGCAGAUGGUAAUCGUCUGACACGUGGCUGCAUCAUCACCGUCGAAGGGUUUGAUCCGGUGCGACUCAGGCUCUAAUCGGAGGACACGUGGACUAAUCUGCACCGUCACUGAGUUUUGAUCCGGUGCGACUAAAGGCUGUAAUCUGCUGACACGUGGCUUCAUCAGAACCGCUACUGAGUUUUUAUCCGGUGUGACGCAUGCCUUACUCUGUCUGACACGCGGCUGCAUCUGAACCGUCCGUUAAUCCAAAACUUUAAUUGCUAAAAUCUGAGCCAUCCAAAGUCCGAUUGGGGUGAUCUCAGUGUCAUUUCCAAGGUUUUUGGCCGUUCCGGACACAUCUGUAAGGUCAGAUUUGGCAAAUUCUAAUCAGAGAAAUAUUAAAAAUGGCAGAUGAAAUAAAGGCUGCAGGAAUUGAAAAAUUUGACGGAACAGAUUUUGGAUACUGGAAAAUGCAGAUUGAGGAUUAUUUAUAUGGGAAGAAACUUCAUCUUCCCUUAUUGGGAAGCAAACCAGAAAAGAUGGAAGAAGAAGAAUGGCAACUUCUUGAUAGACAAGUUCUGGGCAUUAUCCGGCUAUCGUUAUCAAGAAGAGUUGCUCACAAUGUUACGAAAGAAAAAUCCACUGCAAAAUUGAUGGAAGCCUUGUCUGGGAUGUAUGAGAAGCCAUCAGCAAAUAAUAAAGUGCACCUGAUGAAAAAGUUGUUCAACUUGAAGAUGGUCGAAAACGCUUCUGUGACACAACACCUCAACAACUUUAAUACCAUCACAAAUCAAUUAUCAUCUGUUGCGAUUGAGUUUGAUGAUGAGAUUCGUGCACUCAUCUUGCUAGCUUCACUUCCAAGCAGUUGGGAAGGCAUGAGGACAGCCGUGAGCAAUUCAGCUGGAAAAUCCAAACUGAAGUAUGAUGACAUUCGAGACUUGAUUUUGGCUGAAGAAGUGCGAAGGAAAGACUCGGGUGAAAGUUCAAGCUCAGGAUCAGCUCUCAACAUCAACACUCGAGGGAGGAGACACGAUAGAGGCUCAUCCAGAGGCAGAUCAAAAUCCAGAUACAGAAGUAAAAGCAAGUUUGGAUCCAGAAAGCAGGUUGAAUGUUGGAAUUGUGGCAAACCUGGUCAUUUCAGUAGGAAUUGCACAAAACCGAAGAAACCUGAAGUUGACUCUGCAAACGCUACCACAGAUGAGGUACAAGAUGCUUUAAUUCUUGCUGUGCAAAGUCAAAUUGAUGAGUGGAUUCUUGAUUCUGGUGCUUCAUUCCACUGUACGCCACACAAUGAAAUACUGCAAAAUUAUGUUGGAGGAGAUCAUGGUGUAGUCUAUCUGGCCGAUGGAACACCACUGAAGAUUGUGGGUAUAGGAGAUGUGCAAAUCAAGACAAUGAAUGGACCUUGUAGAAUGUAAGGCAUGUUCCUGAAUUAAAGAAGAAGUUGAUCUCUGUCGGACAACUUGAUGAUAGUGGUCAUUCAAUACUUUUUGCUGGAGGAAUGUGGAAAGUAUCAAAGGGAGCAAUGGUUUUAGCUCGUGGAAAGAAAACCGGCACCCUGUAUAUGACCACAAGAUUUGCAGACAUCAUUGCCUCAACUGAAGCAGAAAAUCAAGCACAUCUAUCGCAUUGUAGACUUGGCCAUAUGAGUCAAAAGGGGAUGAAGAUAUUUAGUCGAAGGGAAAGCUGCCAGAGUUAAAAAAUGUCGAUCUAGACAUUUGUGAAAGCUGUGUUCUUGGAAAACAGAAGAAGGUCAGUUUCUUGAAGGUUGGCAGGACCUUACGACCAAGAAAGCUAGAACUGGUACACACAGAUUUAUGGGGACCGUCUCCAGUAGCAUCUCUUGGAGGUUCUCGGUAUUAUGUGACUUUCAUUGAUGACUUCAGCAGGAAGGUAUGGGUUUACUUUCUGAAAAAUAAAUCUGAUGUGUUUGAAACAUUCAAGAAAUGGAAGGCUAUGGUUGAGACUGAAUCAGGUCUAAAGUUGAAAUGCUUGAGAUCUGAUAAUGGAGGAGAAUACAUUGAUGGAGGUUUCAAGGAGUAUUGUGCUGUCAAUGGUAUCAGAAUGGAAAAGACCGUUCCAGGCACACCGCAACAGAAUGGCGUUGCUGAACGGAUGAACAGGACCAUCAAUGAACGAGCUAGAAGCAUGAGGUUGCAUUCAGGGUUACCUCAAACAUUCUGGGCUGACGCAGUUCAUACCGCAGUUUACUUGAUCAACCGUGGACCAUCAGUUCCUUUGGAAUUCAGAUUGCCCGAGGAAGUAUGGAGAGGAAAAGAGGUACGACUCUCUCAUUUGAAGGUCUUUGGGUGUGUUUCCUAUGUUCACAUAGAUUCUGAUGCUCGCAACAAGUUAAGCCAAAUCCAAGAAAUGUUUCUUCAUUGGCUAUGGAGAUGAAGAAUUUGGAUUUCGGUUCUGGGAUGAUCAGAAUAGAAAGAUUAUCAGAAGCAGGAACGUGAUCUUCAAUGAGAAAGUUAUGUACAAAGACAGAUCAAGUGAGAAACAGAGAUGGCUGAUUCAGAUACAAGUCCACAAAGAUCUGAAUUCAUAAGAUUAGAAGGGCUUCCCGAUGUUACUAAGCAGAACAACAAUCAAGAGUCUUUACAAGAAGAUUCAAGCACAUCUGUGCCCACUUCCACACAAGAAGAUGCGGAGCAAUUGAACCAGCUGUUCGCAGGUCUUCGAGGACGAUAAAGCCCCCGCAACGGUUCACACUUUUACUGAAUUAUAUUUUGCUGACAGAUGGUGGUGAACCGUUACUUAUGAAGAAUCCUUACAAGAUGGAAACUCAAGCAAGUGGGAGUUAGCCAUGAAGGAUGAGAUGAGUUCGUUGCUGAAGAACAAGACUUGGGAGCUAACACAUUACCUGAAGGAAAGAAGGCCUUGCAAAAUAAGUGGGUUUACAGAGUGAAGACUGAGCAUGACGGAAGCAAACGGUUCAAGGCAAGACUUGUUGUCAAAGGGUUUCAACAAAGAAAGGCAUUGACUACUCUGAGAUUUUUUCUCCAGUUGUGAAGCUCACAACAAUCAGAGUUGUUCUGGGGAUAGUAGCUGCAGAAAAUUUACAUCUUGAACAGUUAGAUGUAAAAACAGCAUUCCUUCAUGGUGACUUGGAGGAAGAUAUUUACAUGCAACAGCCAGAGGGGUUUGCAAUGCAAGGAAAGGAGAAUCAAGUCUGCAAGCUACAGAAAAGCCUAUACGGUUUGAAGCAAGCUCCAAGACAGUGGUACAAGAAGUUUGACAACUUCAUGUGCAGUUCCGGGUAUACAAGAUGCCAAGCUGAUCAUUGUUGCUAUGUCAAACAUUUUGACAACUCCUACAUCAUUCUACUAUUAUAUGUAGAUGAUAUGUUGAUUGCAGGAUCCAGCAUUGAGGAGAUUGAUAAGCUGAAACAGCAGUUGUCGAAACAGUUUGAAAUGAAGGAUCUGGGAGCUGCUAAACAAAUACUUGGCAUGAGAAUCAUCAGAGAUAAAGACAAAGGCAUACUAAAGCUCUCACAAACAGAGUAUGUCAAGAAGGUUCUCAGCAGGUUUAGUAUGGAUAAUGCUAAACCAGUAAGUACACCACUGGGGAAUCAUUUCAAGCUCAGCAAAGAUCAGUCACCAAAACUGAGCUAGAAAGUGGAUACAUGGAUAAGAUUCCAUACGCCUCAGCUAUCGGCUCUUUGAUGUAUGCUAUGGUCUGUACCAGACCAGACAUUGCCCAUGCAGUGGGAGUUGUAAGCCGAUAUAUGAGCAAUCCUGGAAAGCAGCAUUGGGAGGGUGAAAUGGAUCAUGAGGUACUUAAAAGGUUCAUCGGAAACUUGUCUCAGUUUCACAGCUGGUGGUUUGAAACUUGAAGGUUUUGUAGAUGCUGAUCUAGCAGGAGAUGUUGAUAGCAGAAAGAGCACUACAGGAUAUGUUUAUACUCUAGGAGGUACUGCUGUUUCCUGGAGUUCUACCUUGCAAAAGAUCGUUGCUCUUUCAACAACAGAAGCUGAAUAUGUUGCAGUCUCAGAAUCUGCAAAAGAGAUAGUAUGGUUGCAGAGUUUCUUGAAAGAAUUGGGCAAGUUGAAUGGAAAAGGUACUUUGUAUAGCGACAGUCAGAGUGCAAUCUUCCUUGCCAAGAAUCCAGCAUUUCACUCCAGGACGAAGCAUAUUCAGAUCAAAUAUCACUUCAUCCGACAACUGCUGGACGACGAGCAACUAAUGCUAGAAAAGGUCUGUGGAAGCAAGAAUCCAGCAGACAUGUUAACCAAAGGAGUUACACUUGAGAAACUGAAGUUGUGCAAAACUUCAGUUGGCCUUCAAGGAUAAAAGAUAAUUUCAUUGUUUGUCUCCAAGUGGGAGAUUGUUAAUUAUUUGGAGACAAACCAUGUCCCACCAUGUGCAAGUGGGAAUCCCCCACUUUGCACAUGGUGGAGGACACAAAGUGGAGGCAACGGUGGACACAAAUGAUGAUGUCCUUCCCUCAUCCCUUGUAUAUGUAUAUGAGCUAUGUGUGUGCAUGUAUAACGGUGUGUGAAGAGAAGAAGAGAGAGUUGCAGUUGUGUGAAACACAGAGAGAAACACAUAGAGAGAGCUAGGGAGAGUUGAGUUGAGUUGAGAAGAAUUUUCUCCUCCUCCUUGUUUUGUUGUUUGUAUUGUUUGUAAGCUUGAUUAAUACAAACCAAUAGCUCCGUGGAGUAGGCAAGUUGCCGAACCACGUAAAUUGUGUGUGUUUGAGUUCUGGAAAUAUCCCAAGACUUACCGGACAGCGGCACGAAACAGAGGAUAUUAGUACUUUCAAUUGGGUAAGAGGGAAAAGAAACAAUUUCCUUGCUGCUUAAGUUCUUUUAUUAUAAGAUGUCUUACAUUAGUUUCUUUACAUCUUGUUCGAUUGACAAGGUUUUGCUAAUCGCAAAGCUUCCAUUUGUGUUGGCCGUGACAUAGAGAAAGAAGGAAAGGGGUAUUAUGAGGAAAUAAGGCCUGCUUCAAACAUGGAUCUAUAUCUUGCGACUUCCAUGAUUGUAGAAACCACCAUCCUGUGGAAGCCAUGAGAAUCUCAAGCAACACCUCAAACAAAAUAAUGUUGUUGGAAGUAGUACUUACAAGGAACCUUGGAAAGAUUUGUGUCAGUAGGAUGGAUAUCUUUCAAUUUGUUUCCAGUUGUAUUUGAGGCUGCAAGGGAUGUUAUUCCUUUGCUUGCUUGUCUUAUGAUUGAUUCGGCAUUUUGUGUUGAAUAAUGAAAUCUUAACUUUAAUCAUGUGAUGUUUUGUAUUAAAAAGAUUGGAAAAUAAAAUAAAGCCCUUGGAAGCUUAAAAAGAGGGUAUAAAUGAUUGAAGGGUAGUGUGGUAAUUGACCAAUAGUUGAUAAAUAUAAAUAAGAAAAAAAAAAAGAAUGAUAUGAUUUUGAGAGAAAGAGAGCUGCGGGAGAGAAAGGAAAAGAGGAAGAAGAAGAGAAGAAAAGAAAGGAGAGAAGGAAAGGAAGGAGAAGAGAAGUAGAUGAUAUAAGUAAAAAGGUAAGAUUUAUAGUUUUAAGUGUAUAAUAUGUUAAAUUUCGGUUUUGAUUAAUUUUGAGAGUUUUGAAGUUUGUAUUUUGAGUUAAUUGAUGAAUUAAUUUGAAGGUUAGGAGUUGAUUAUUGUGGGUAUUUGAUUAAUUAGUUGAUUUUGAGAGAUUGAAUUGAAGGAUAAUGAUUUUGAGUUAUGAUUUUGUUUAAAUGGGGAAAUUGUGUUAGAAAUCAGGGGAUAACAGUAGGUAAUCUGUUUAAAUUCUGGGUUUGAGGUUGAAGAUGACGAAAAUUCAAUUUGGUCCCUCAAUUUGCGGAAAUUGCAGUUUAGUCCCCGAACUUUGGAAAUUUUACAGAUUGGUCCCUGGGACAUAAAUUGAGGUUCUGAAAAGAACUGAGGAUGAUUUAAGGGCAAAAUUCCAGUAUAAUUAAUAUUUUCAGUUUGGUCCUCCAAUUUGACAAAUUACGAUUUGACCCCUAAUAUUUUGAUAAAAUCACAUUUUGGACCUUGGGGCAUAAUUCAAGAUUCUGGACAAAGAUAAGGACGAAUUAUGGAUAAAUUUCAGUAUGGAUAUAUAUUUACAAUUCGGUCCUCAAAUUUUGGUAAAAUUACGUUUUGGUCCCUGUUUUGGAAAAUUGUCGUUUUAGUCCCUAAACCUAGGAGAUUAAGCCCGGUUUUAUUUUAUGCAUUGGGAUCUUUUGUUUGAUUUUUUUUUGAGUAUAUUUCAUAUAUUUAUUGUACGUUCUCCUAACGAUCCUUAAUCGGAUUUUCUGGUCUUUUGCCUGACAUUCCUUUAGUUUAGUAUUUUCCGGGUGAGUGGAAUAAUAUUUAAUAUGCAUAUAAUAUAAAUAAAUAUGUAUGUUGAUUAUACAAUGAGUACAACUAGUAAAUUUAUUGAAUAUUUAUAUAUGUUGCUUUAUUUUCCGAGUACUCAUUUAUUCUUGAAUUUGCACUCGCAAUCUGAUAAAGUAAAUUCUAUUUGAUAUGAUAUACGUUUCUUUGAUGAUUCUGUGAAUAUCUAUUAUGCCUUGAUAUGGGACUUGUCAGUAACUCCAUGCUAAUGGAGAAUAGUUAGCAUGUGUGCACAUAGUAUUCUGUAUACCUAGCUGGUGAGAGAGGCAUCAGCCUAUGGCGAUUGAUCAUCCCACAGUGGUCACCGACGGGUGUCAUCUGGUCACCGACGGGUGUCAUCUGGUCACCUACGGGUGUCAUAUGAUCUCUGACAUGUAAUCCACUACGUUAUGAUAAUAUGUUACGUUAUGAUAUUAUGUUUAGUAAGUAUAUGUAUAUGUAUAUCACUACAAGAUUUUACAGUUUUACCGACGGAAAUAUUCCGUCGGUGUGUGACAGAACAUUCGUCGGUAAAGUAUUUACCGACUAUAUUACCGACGGAAUACACCCGUCGGAAUACCUUUUGUCGAUGAUUCCACAUUCCGUCGCCAUAUCGGUCGAUAAUACAAAAAAAACAUUUACCGAUGGUUUUACCGACGGACUGUGCGCGCCAAAAAAAAAAAAAGUUUCCCGCUUGGAAUAUACCGACGGAAAAUAUUCCGUCGGUGUUAUGUAAAUACCGACGGACUAUCUCCGUCGGCAAAAGUGUCGGUGAUAUUUCGUACCGACCGAAUAAAUCCGUUUGUAAAUUUGUCGGUAUUUUUAUACCGACGGAUUAUCUCUGUCGGUGAAUAUGUCGGUGAUGGGAUGGAAUACCGCAGACACUGUCCAAUGCCGACGGAUUGUUUCCGUCGGUAAAUCCCUGUGUAAUUUUUUUUUUAAUUAUUUAAAAAAAAUAAUAUAAAUUAAUAGUAAUACAAACCAAUUAUGCAAAUAAAAUUUAUAUUAAGCAACAAAAACUCAAAGUUAAAUAAUAUUCAUUACAAAAUGAAUGUGUUUAAAAAAAAACAAUUAAUAUAAAGGAGGAGGAGGAGGGUGGGGGUUAGGCGGCCAAAAAGGAUUAGGCGCACAUGUUCCACCUUGUGUCAUGUUCAUGACCAUUUGACGAAGCUCUUCAUAGGCCGCUCUUUGUUGUUCAGACUCUGCUCUGCGUUGUUCGUCCGCCAAUUUGUGUUGUUCGUUCGCCAAUCUUUGCUCUUCUUUGAGUUGUGUGUACGCCUCUGAUAGAUGGUCGCACCUUUGCUGCAAGGCCACAAACUCCUUAGAUUGGGAGCUCGAUACAGAUUGGGAGCUCCCACCGGUUGAAGCAGUACCGGUCGACCGCAACUUGGCGGCGGUAGUGUUGGAGAGCCCGUAAACCCGAUUUUUAUCGGGUCCACCUGACGAUCCAGCCUCCAUCCACAAAUCCGGAUCGAAUUCCGGAUGGUUCGAAGGAUCGUCCCCGUAUCUCUCCCUCAACCGAUUAUUAUAGGUCUCCUGAAAAAAAACAAAACAAAUAAUCAUAUUCAAUUCAAUAAACAUGAUAAUAACUUAUAAAAUAAAAUGGUUGAACAAACACACCACAAACUGUUGAGCACGGUUGUCAACGAACUGUUGCGUCCCCUUUUGGCGGUCAUGACUCCGCACGUACGUCUCCACAAACAGCUCCAUAGGGCUCGGCUCACGUCCAAGAGACGUAGCCUAUAUAUAAUGAAAAAAAUGUAUUAACAACAAAUUAAUUGAACGAUAUAUUUCAUUUAAAUUAAUCUUACCAUCCAUUUCGCAUGUGCAGCAAACGGAGCCGUCGGUGUGCGUUGUAACCGAGCCAUGAAUUUGCCGAUUCCGGUUGUCGGCACCGGACUGUGAGCGUCGAGUGAACCGCUCAGACGUCACGUGCUGAAGAUAGUGCGGCCAUAUAUCUUCCGGGAUGUAUAUUGGUUUGAAAUCCCUCCAAACCGCAACAUCGUUCCAACCUUGUAACCCCUUAUCCCUCGCUGUUUUUUUUGCUUUUUUCUGGGCGUCAUACCAAAAAUCACGCAACCUAAUUCACGCACGAAAAAAUUACAUUUCGAAACAUAAAUAAUUAUGUAAAAAAAAGUCGUAUUGUUUUCGAUGUUACCUAAUUGCCGCGUGAUUUUCCCACACCCUCCUCACAACAGUGUCAUGUUCAUCAUCCCAGCAGAAUCGAUGUUGUAUAUAAAAAAAUAAUUUUUUAAAAUGUUAAUAAUUUAUUUACAAUUAUAACUUGAAUUUAUUAGAAAUAAGCUGAAAAUUAUAUAUUAACACGAACCUCAAAUCUACGAAACCAUGUAUUGAUUUGAGGCAUCCAUUCAGGAUGUCUGGAUAUAUGACUCCAUUGAAACAAUGGAAUCUCCAUCGACGCUUUAAACGCCGAUGAUAUUAAUCGGGCGACCUCAAUGUUUGUGAACCUGAAAAGAAAUGAAAUUAAUUUGUGAUUACUUCAUAAAUUAUGUUUUAAAUUUGUUUUUUUUUAUAUAAAAAAAACUAAAACCUUAACAAACUUACAUUGAAAGAUCGUCCUUCCACUGUGCCUCGAACUGGUGGGUAAAUUGAUUCCGCUUCGAAGGCAUGCCGCGUCUGCGAUGUGAAACAUCGCUGGAAGAGGCAGCAUCGGUUGACGGCCCAGGUGGUGUAGGUGCCUCUUCUUGAGAGGCACCUAAGGAAACAUCAUCAUCGCUGCUAGACGAACUUGAUUCGACUGGACGACCAGCUCUGGUUUUCAUUUUGCGCAUCUAAACAAUUUUAUAUUAAUAAUUGUAUAAUAAAAUUCAAAAGUUAAAAAAAAAUCGGCAGCACCUCCCCUAUACUGGAUACUACCCAAAUCCACAAACCUGCAAAUAUUAACAAUAGCCACAACCAAUCGAACCAAUCUAUAUGACAAAAAAUAUAUUCAAUAAUUAUAUUCAAAACAAUAAAAAAUAUGACAAAAAAUAAAUUCAAUAAAUUCAACAAAUUAUAAUUCAACAAAUUAAUCAUUUUAAUUCAACAUUAACAAUUAUAAUUCAACAAAUUAAUCAAUAAUUAUAUUCAAAACAAUAAAAAAUAUGACAAAAAAUAAAUUCAAUAAAUUCAACAAAUUAUAAUUCAACAAAUUAAUCAUUACAAUUCAACAUUAACAAUUAUAAUUCAACAAAUUAAUCAUUAUAAUUAUGACAACAAAACAAUAAAAAAUAUUCAAAAAAAAAAACCUACAUCAAUAAAAGGAACGAAAUAAACAUACCUUAAUAAUGUGACAAAUUCAAUCACCGAUGGAAUUAAUAUCCGUCGGUAAAAGGUAAAAAUUCCGUCGGUAACAGGUCAAAAAUCCGUCGGUAUUUUUUGAAUUUCGCCCCGAAUUUUUAAAAGCCCUCCAUAUUUUUCACAGUCCGUCGGUGAUUCCGUCGGUAAUCUGACAAGUUCAGAGGCGCAUUAAUUCACACACUUUGGAAAUCGCGCGGUCCGUCGGUAUUUCUGUCGGUAAUAUGUGUGACCGACAAAUUACCGACGGACCUAUUCUGUCGGUGAACCCGUCGGUGAUUGUGGCAUUUUGUUCUAAAUAUUUUCGAGCUUACUGUGAGAUGCCGACGGAAUGGUUGUCCGUCGGUAAUGUCGUCGGUGAGUGUGGCAUUUUAUUGUAAAUAUUUUAGAACUCUCUGUGAGAUACCGACGGAUGGUUGUCCGUCGGUAUUGACGUCGGUGAUUGUGGCAUUUUGUUGUAAAUAUUUUUGAACUCUCUGUGAUAUACCGACGGAUGGUUGUCCGUCGGUAUGGACGUCGGUGAUUGUGGCAUUUUGCAGGAAAGGUUGUCUUUGUAUUGCAUGUUUACCUUCCUGCAAUAACUUAACUGAUAAACUGUCUAUCACAUAAAACAAUAACCACAUUGCUUAAACAAUAAAUAUUUUGUUUUACAAAAUACAUCAUCAAUAAUCUAAAUUACAUGAGACAAAUGUUUUUACAUAGGGCUUCAUUUUCAUAAUUAGUCGGAAUUUUCUUCUUCUUCCUCGUCAAUUGAAUUGUCAUCAUCUUCAUCGCAAUCUUCAAUAUGGAUAUCAUCUUCUUCAUCGACAUUUGCUUGUUCGCUAGAGCUGAGAACAACAUUCAACUCCUCUCCGUCAAUAUCAACAAGACUAUCAUCGAGAACUCGAAAAUUUGAAUUUUCUUCCAAUUCAAUCGAAGGAGCAACUCGAUAUGGUUCAACCAACUCACGAACUUGAAAGACUUCAUCUCGCACACUUGUGUCUUCGUUCUCAUCCUGAACAACCUCGACACGACCCCGUGGUUUCGUUUUUAAAACGGACAACCAAUCAACUCUUGAACGAUCCUUUCUAAAUGAAGGGGUGUAUGUGUAAUAAAUUUGUUGACAUUGCUUUGCGAAAACAAAGACAUCAUUUAUGUUGCGGAGUCUAGCUUUUGAGUUGAUUUCGACCAGACCAUGGUGCAGAUCAACUUUGAUUCCUCAGUUCGUCGUGUCAUACCAAUAGCAUUUGAAUAAAAACACUUUAUUCUGCUCGCUAUGAUAUUGCAGUUCGACGACCUCUUCUAAUCUACCAUAGUAGUCAACUUCUAACUGGCUACUUGUGGAUCCCUUAACACAAACACCGCAGUUGUAUGUCUUUCUUCCUUGCCCGUAUUCUUCAGUAUGGAAAACAUAUCCAUUGACAAAAUACCCGUUGUAGCACUUAACUUUUCUUUCAGGGCCGAGGCUUAGUGAAGACAAUGACUUGGGCGCACUCCUUCCCAUUUGAUAAACCUUGUAAAUAUAUGUAAUUAAAUGUACAUCAAUACACGGUAAAUGAACGAGAAUCUCGUAAUGACAUGCAUACGUUAGAAUGAGUUUGUGAUAGUGCUUACAUGUGUUCUGAACCAUGUGGCAAAUUGUUCAUCUUGUAAUUGAAAGAUCUGGGAUUCGGUCAGCUGCGAGUUAUUGGAGAGCAAAUAUUGUCGAUGUUGCCUGCAAGUGAUAAUGAGUGUAUGAUAUUACAAUAUAUAAUUAACAGUAUAUUACUGACAAAGUUUAAUUAGUAUUACACAUAUAUAGACUUACUGAAUAAAUGGUCUCAGCUCAUCACAGUUAAAUAGAACAUAGUUGUGUGCUUGUUUGAAUUCUAUUUCCGACAAAUAUCUUCCUCUUACGGCAUUUUUAGGUGUGGGUCGUCCAGUAUUGGAGAAUAUUGACAAGUUCCCACUGGAAGGCACUUCACCGCCAUCGUCAUGCCGUGGAACGCGAUUGAUUCUUGUUCUCAGAUGAGGUUCGAAAUAGUACGAGAUAAAUGUUGAUAUCUCUUCAACAAUAUAGGCCUCAGAUAUCGAAGCCUCAACAUGCGCCUUGUUCUUAACCUUUUUUUUUAGAUUAAACAAGUACCUGCAUUGAAGUACAAUUCAAGUAUUUUCAAAUAAGAAAAACAUAGAAAAUACUUUAAGAUAUGAAUUCCAUUGCAACUGUAAUAUCUCACCGUUCGAAUGGGUACAUCCAUCUAUACUGGACCGGUCCUCCAGCUUUUGCCUCGAACGGUAGAUGUAUAGGGAGAUGCUCCAUUGAGUCAAAAAAUGAAGGAGGGAAUAUCAUCUCAAGUUUGCAUAGUGUCUCGAUGAUAUUCGUUUGAAGCAUCUCAAUGUGCUCAACAUUCAUCUUGCUGGAGCAUAUAUCUCUGAAGAAAUGACUGAUCUCCGUUAGUGCAUCCCAUAUUCCCUUUGGCAACAAAUCACGAAAAGCUAAUGGGAUGAGUGUUUGCAUAAACACGUGGCAGUCAUGGCUCUUCAUUCCAUACAAUCUGCAGUCCUCUAUGUUAACAAGCCUUGAUAUGUUCGAUGCAUGUCCAUCCGGGAAACGCAGACUCUUAAGCCAUUUGUAGACUAGCAGUUGUGCGUUUUUCUCUAACACGAAGCUUGCCCUUGGUUUUGCAACCCGUGACUCGUCAUAAACCAACUCCAUAUUUUUACGGUUACAGUAUAAAGCUAUAUCCAAUCUAGCCUUCAUGUUGUCCUUUGUCUUCCCCUUCACAUCCAUGACGGUGUUGAAAAUAUUCUCAAACACGUUCUUUUCGAUGUGCAUGACGUCAAGGUUAUGGCGGAGAAGAUUAGUCUUCCAAUACGGAAGCUCCCAAAAGAUACUUCGCUUUACCCAAUUAUGGGUCAAACCAAAACCAGGAAACUUUUGCUUACCUGAUUGAAGGCCAAACACAAUGUCACCGUACUCUGAUACAACAUGAUGCAAUUCUUCACCAGAAAGACGCGGGGAUGCAACAUCUUUUUCAACUCUACCAACAAAGAAAUCUUUUCUGUUCUUUCUGAACCUGUGAUUAAGUGGCAAGAAGCGACGGUGACAGUCAAAAAAAGAAGCUUUACCUCCGUUUGCUAGCGUGAAUGCCUUGUUGUUUUCCAUGCAGUAUGGACAUGCGAGUUUCCCAUGCGUGCUCCAACCAGAAAGCAUUCCAUAAGCUGGAAAAUCACUGAUAGUCCACAUCAAAGCCGCCCUCAUAAGGAAAUUUUGUUUCCUCGAUAUAUCAUAAGUCAGAGAUCCGGAGGACCACAACUGCGCCAGCUCAUCUAUCAACGGUCGAAGACAAACAUCUAUAUUCCGCCCCGGGCUGCUUGGACCGGGUAUGACAGUAGAUAGAAACAUGAACUCCGGCCUCAUACACAUUCCCGGUGGCAAGUUAUAAACUGUGAGAAUGACCGGCCAACAAGAAUAGGGAGCAGCAAAUGACCCAAAUGGGUUGAACCCGUCUGUACACAACCCAAGUCGAACAUUCCUUGAUUCAGCAGAAAAGUCAGGAUGAACACUGUUAAAGCGUUUCCACGCUUCGCCGUCAGAAGGAUGCACCAUCACACCAUCAACGACAUCGUGUGUUUGGUGCCAUGUCAUGUGCUCAGCAGUCCUUGGUGACAUAAAUAACCUCUGCAGUCUAGGUGUGAUCGGAAAUAUCUAAGUUUUUUAUGCCACUAGAGUCUUCCCCCUGCCAGUUCUGGGUUUGUAACGGGAAUGCCCGCAUGUCAUGCACUCGGUCAUCUCAGCAUUUUCAAGGUAGUAUAACAUGCAGAAGUUAGGGCACAUGUCAAUUUUCUGGUAUCCUAAACCGAGGGGUUUCAUCAUGGACUUCGCAGCAUAGAAGUUCUCUUUGAGCCUGUUCCCUUCUGGUAAAAUGCUUCUUGCCCAAUCAAUAAUUUUGUCAUACCCGGCCUCACUCAACCCGUGAUCUGACUUGAUGGUGAACACCUGUGCCACGCCGAUAAUUUACUGUGGUUUGUGCAGCCAUCCCAUAAUGGUUCGUCAGAAUCUUUCAACAAAUCAAAAAACCUAGCUGCCUCUGCAUUAGGUUCUUCUUCUACGAUUGGACAUUGAUUGACAUUAUCUUGAUUCAUUCUCAUUGCAUCCAUAACCAUGUUUCUGUAAGGAUUAGUGUUGUCAUUUGCCGCUUCAUGCACGUUGCUAGCACUAGAAGUUGACCCAACCACCGUUUCUCCCAUUCUCCUAUUACUAACAAAUACCUCUCCAUGUGCAUACCAACACUCGUAAUCCUCCACAAACUCUUUAUGUAGAAGAUGCAUCAUUACAACAUCUAGAUGCAGAUACUUUUUAUUUUGACACUUCCUGCAUGGACACCUAAUACCGCCUCCAGUAAAAUUUCUGGGAAUAGAUGUUGCGAAAUUAAUAAAACCCUGAACCCCGUUACAAUAAUCCAUCAUCUGCAAUCCUUGGGGUGAAUCUAGAUACAUCCAUGAACGAUCAUCCAUGACUUCUAUCGAACCUCUAUAAAAAGGACCCAUUAAUUAAGCAAGCUCUUAAUUAUUUCAAAACAUAACAUGUAAUUCGGUAAUUCUACAAAUUAAGUUUUAACAAUUUUCAAACAAAUACAAUCUUACAAAAUCUAAAACAAACCAUAACAAGUAUAAAAUUAUACAUUCAUAUACUACAAGUUUGUUUGAGAAAUAACAAUAAAACAUGUACAUCUACUAAAAAAUAAUAAUACAUAUACUAAAAAAAAAAUUUGACAUUUAAAUGUUAAAAUUUUAAAAGAUAGAAUUACUUACAAAAAAUGAUAAAAUCCGUCGGUAAAUCAGAACACGGAUGCUGUGACCACAAAACAAAUACAACUUGUUGUGCUGAGAUGAGGAAGAUUUUUGUUUUGGGGCGAGGGGGGUGGUUAUUUUGCAGAUGGGGAGGGUUAGGAUUAGGAAGAAGAAGGAGAAAUGGGGGAGGAGAGUGUCGGCAGAGUGGCCAUAUAUUCACUUUUGCUGACGGACUUACCGACGGUUUGGAUUCCGUCGGUGAAUCCGUCGGCAAAACCGUCGGUAAUUCUGACGGGCAAUCGACACGUCACCGCACGGACCUGCUAUUCAAAUCCCUCGGUGAUUCCGUCGGUAUUUUUAACGGUGCACCGGUCACGUCACCGGUACGGAUCUGGCAUUUCAAAUCCGUCGGUGAUUCCGUCGGUAUUUUUUGACGGUGAACAGGUCCCAUCACGCGUACGGGCCCCAGUUUUAAUUCCGUCGGUGAUUCCGAAAAUCACCCGCCAAAACCUCGCGCCACUGCCCGCCCUUUUUUCAUUAAUUCUGAAUUUUCGGUCGGUAAUUACCGACGGAUAGUCCGUCGUAAUUACCGACCGAAUUACCGACGAAAUAUUCCGUCGGUGAGUUCGACCGAAAAAUACCGACAGAAAAAAUUCUGUCGGUGAGUCCGUUGGUAUUUAGCGAAUUUCUGGUAGUGUAUGUAAAUCAAGAUAAAUCAUCUUGCAAAUAAUAUUAUUAAUAUCUGAAAUGUAUAUUAAAUGUUAUUCCCUCACUGAGUUGGUUGAACUCACCUCUCAUUUUUAAUAUUAUUUCAGGUUCUUAGUUUCUGGGACUUUGUUGAGUGUUUCCGCUUCUUCAGUUCUGGUCGGUAUGCCUUGCUUGUUCGCGAGGCUUUCCUUUUAGUUUUGAUUUGAUAUCUUAGACGCUCCACUGUUACCUUGGUUUAAUUAAAUUUGGAUUUUGACAAUGUAAUGAGUAUUAUGAAUUAUUAUUUUUGUUUUAAUAACUAUCUUUCGGUUUCAUCAGUAUUUGAAUAAUAUAAUAUUUCUGAAUAUUAUGAGCCGCUGCGUAUUUUUGAACAAAUUAUUCUUUUGAUAUGUCCGUUCUGAGGCUUAGCCUAGGUGAGGUGUCCUUUCGACACCACUCCUACGUUGCCGGUCACGAAUCCGGGAUUCGGGUCGUGACAAAUCACCUUAUGGAUACCCAGAUUUCCAGUGCCUGGAAAUGGUUUAAAAAGAUUUUGUUUUGAGGUAAUGCAAAUCACAUCUCUAGUUGUUACUGGAUUUAAUAAAGUUACUUUAUACAGUUGAAAUUACUCGCUGCUUUCCUCUUGAAUCAUUAAUCCUAAAUGAUUAAUCAUGGAUAGUUUAAUAUAUCAGUGAAACUAGAUCAUUGACCGAGCUCGUACAGGCUAUACUAAAAAUUUUAUAAACAAAAAAAUAUGUAAGGAUUGAUAAUGUAUUUUUUUGUCAAACCGAAAUGUAAAACCAAAGGGGAAAAAAAUAAAAAAAAUUUAUUCAUUUUUCUUCCUAUUACGUUGAGCACCCUUAAAGUAAUCUGCAAUUGUCAAAGAACCUGAAUACAUAAUAUGAUUUCAGAACUCGUAUCUGUGUCCCAUGAACCCAUGGUUAUAAAUUUCAACGUUAGCAAAAAUUAUAUUCAAUUAUUAUUUUUUAAAUAUAUAAGUUUGAUAGUGAUUUUAUAUUUUAUUCUACACUAGCACGCGGGUUUGGCAAGCGCCGGAAAAAUCAAGGUGGAAUGUUAAGCGUGCUCCUGUAAUUCGGUAAUAAUUUUAGUUAAGCUCUCUAAUUAUUUACUUGUAAUUACAGUAAUUUUGUUUUCCUAAUUACCUGCUCUCUUCUAGUGCUUCUGAUUGAAAUUGAGUUAGGAGUUGAAGACCCUUAAGUGCAUUGGAUUGCCCAUCUAGAAGUUGUUUCUGUUUAUCCAAAGACUUCCCAGCCAUGUUCUCAAUGUCAUCAGCUGUGUUUUGUAAAGUUUCCAUCUUUGAAGACAUUGUGUCUCCAACUCUGCCAAUCUGCUUCUCUAUUUCCACAGCUUCGUUUCUCACAUUGUCUACUUCUUGGCCCAGAUUGGUGUAAGCAUCAUGAAGCAUCGACAUCCCUUCCUUCAAAUUGUCAUUCAUUUUUGCUUGUCCCUCUUGCAGCUCUGAUUGAGAAUGUGCAAUUUCCUUGGAAUGCUUAUAAACAGCUUCAGAGUGCUUAGAUAAAACAUCCAUGUGAUCCUUUGCAUCUUUCGUUGUUUGAGCUACAUUUUCAACCUGAAUAUCAAUAGAACUCAAUGAAUCCUGAAUUUGAUUCGAUCUCUGCAACAGGACAUGUGUUUUUCCUCCAAUAAUUUCUAACUGUUCUUCCGUGUAUUCUGCUGAAUUUUUAAGAUCAUUCACCAGUCUCUCCAUUUUAUGGUUGAAGGCAUGGGCCCUGUAGGCAAUAGCACAUAAAAAAAUCCUUGUUAGUUUCUGUCACAUCGUAUAAAACAAGAGAAGAACGGUCAGAACAGUGAAAGAAACUAUACUUAACUGUCACUGAUAGCAGAUAGAAUUGGUUUCCAGUGAGAAUUCAAGAUAAACCUUGUGCUCAUUGUCAUUCAACCUUUUGAGACAAUUAACCAUGGCAGAUUUUGUGUCACAAUAAGGGAAAGCUGGCCGUCCAGAGUCCUUUUGAAAGCAAUCACUAAGGUGCCAAGCAAAUCUCCACCGCUUCUCCUCGACGGCGAGAAUCUGCGAGCAGCCGGCAAAGAGAUUCUGGUAAGCAUUCUGCCAACAAGAAUUCGUGCCAACCAUUUUACUUUCGGCUUUUUCGACCAGUUUCAUCCCCUUCCCAUCACUAAGACCAUUCAUAGAAAAUUCCACCACAGAACCACGGGGCAAACCGUUUGUCUGUGAAUUAUCAUGGAGAGAGUCUCUGUUGAAGAAGAGAACCAACCCCAUGAUUGACAUCUUAAUGUAAGUGAGAUUAAAAUUACGAGAAACAAAAUCUGACUAUAAGAACCCAUUAAUUAUAUCUUUUCUUCCUGAUUUUGUUACUCUACUUUCUGUAUCUUCCACCAGAAGACUGAAACCUGCAGUACACAGUAUAACAAAUUAGCAGAUGCUUCCAAUGCUAAAGGCAUAUACACAAGUCUUGUAUUUAUGUAUAAACAAAGAGGUGGAGAAACUUGGAGUGCAAGAAAAGGAAAAGGCACGAUUUUAGCAUGAAAAGGACUGUUUGAAAGUGAAAUUAAAAGUGUAGAAAAUAGAAAAGAGACAGAGACUUCCAAAGAUUAAAAAGAAAAGAAAAGAAAAGUAGAAAUGGUCAAAUAGUCUCUUAAAACAUUCUACGAUAUUCCAAUAAUCAAAGAUGAGAUAACUUCAAGAAUUCUAAGGAAAUCAAAACAGGACAUAGUGUCAUAUCUUCCCAUUAAAUUAGCAGCAUAUCAACUAUUUUAAGAAAAUUAAGUCAAAAUUAAGAAAAUUCUUUAAAAUCAUAACCGUUUCAAUUAACCGUUUCUUUGUUUUCUCUCUUUUUUCUAAUUUCCUUUUACAAUUAAUUACUUAUAUGAUGGAUUAACAAAUGGAAAGAAAGAAACCAUAAGUAGCAAAAAGGGAUCCCCUCUUUAUCUUCUAUCACUUGAUUUCUUUUCUUAACUUCUUCUCCAGCUACCCCUCCCUCCUUUUCUCAUAUACAAAGCUUCUGCUACCUUUUUUAUCCUUUAAAAAACCAAAAAGCGGGCCAUGUUCAUGUUUAAAGUUUUGAUACGAUUAUCCUUGGAGCCUUAACCUGAAUUAUACGUAAAAAACGAAGAAAUUAAAGAAAGUCCUUGAAUGAGAGAGAGAGAGAGAGAGAUGGUGAGAGCAUACAUACUUGUUUGUGAAUGCUCACCGGGUGGGGGUGGGGGUGGGGGUGGUAUUAAGAGGAUAUAUAUAUAUAUAUAAAGUGAAGUGAAGAGACAUGAUGCUUUGAUUAAUUUGGAAAAUUAAUGAUGUUUCGAAAAGUCACUUUCCAUGACCGACAUUAAUCUUUCCUUUCCAUGUUACACCAGGUUUUAUAUUUUUUCCUUUUACGUUUAAUUCGUUUUCAAAAUUAACCCAAGAUUUCAGAACGUUGCAAUAUUAAACCUCAACGUCACAAAUGAUCUACUGUAAUUUAAUUUUAAGGCCUGAUUAAAUACCCAAGUUAUUAAAACACACUUGUUCCCAGCAGAACACAAUGUUUAAGGGGGAGAGAGAUCAUCUUGCAUGCAUAAAAUCGAAGACGUGUACUGUAACAGAUAUAUUGUUGUGUUGCAAACAGAUUUCAAGGUUCUAUAUAAAUCCAAGAACUUUUUAUGCACCAACUGAUGAUAUAAUUAUAAGUUAGAGUAAUUAUUGAAACCCUCCCAUAAUUAUUGGAUUUUGUUCCUUAACUUCCACCUAACGGAUUCAUCAUUCUGCUACUUCCAAAUCCAUUCAAGAAAUCUCAAAAGUCCAUUUGAAAUGAACAAAGGAUGCAUUAACCGGUUGAGAUGAAAAUCUCUCAACUAGAAUGAAAAGAUCCUUAUACCUCCAAGGUCUGAUAUGCGGUUUAUUCCUACCACCUGUAUUACCAGAAUGGAAUGCGCUAGUUCUAAGAUGCAGAGUCUGUGUUCGAACAAUGAUUUAUGGAAGCACAGGUACGUGGAGGAGCUUGGAAAUGCGUCCGAAACACAAAGUUUUGGCAACUGGAAAACUAGAUCAAUUCUCUAGAUAUCGAUGUUUUCUGCUAGAUCUUAUGGCAGCAUGAAGUCCACUAAUUUUGUCUGUGAUUGUAACUAUUUGGAUUGUUAAUUUUUUUAAAAAAAGUUUAUGUUCAUAAAUCGCCGGUCUUGCAAAUUGAUAAACCUUUGUUCGAAUGAUAUCGUAGAUUAAAAGGCUUAAAGGAAAUCUUUGUUUGUGUUGCAUAUAUUAAGAGAGUUCUUGAUGCCGGACAAAGAGAGAUUUGAAGAGAAGGGGAGAAGGGAGAGAAAGAACGAAGAGGAGAAGAAGCUGGGAAGAAGAGGAGGAGAGGAGAGAAGGGAAGGGAAGAGGAGAAUUGAACACUACAUUUUUUCUUUAAUUCAUCUAUAAACUGAUAAAUCAAAUAAAGCCCAAUCAAAUAGGUUUAAAGCCGAAACAGAGGGGUGGAACGGGAGUGUCUAAUGAAAGAAAACUCUAUAAGGUCGCGUGGAAUACUCUUUCAAAUCCAAAACAGAUGGAUGGAACUGGUUUGGGUUCUCGCAGAAGGUUUCGGUCUUGGGGUGAUUGCUUUUCCAAAUUUGCACCAAUCAGUUCUGCAUCAGCUAGCAAUGAUUUCGAAAAUGGGAGCUUGACAAGCUUCAGAGUGGACCAGGGCUUUAUCCAUGAGAGAAAGAGGAUGAAACUCGUCCUCAAUCAAUGCUUUCAGCACCAUAUUUACACCAAGAUAGGGUGGUUAUACUGUGAAAUCUUGUAGCGCAGUUGUGGCUGGGUUUUUGCUUCCAUGUCAGACCAUGAACAUCCCCAAUGUAUGGAAACCUACCGCUCUCCCAAAGGUAGAAUUCUUCACUUGGCUGGCUGUUCUUGAUAGACUGAACACAAAGGUAGAAAAUGUAUGUUGCUGCUGUCAAACUGAGGAAGAAUCACUCCACCAUCUACUACAACACUGCCAGCAAGUUUGGAGGAUUUGGAAUCAUGCAUGUGUUCAGUUGGCGAGGAUCAACUUAUACCCUUCCUAAAUCAGCAAGUGGUUUGUUUCAGCAAUGAAGGUUCUUUGCAAGAGGUGGAAAACAAGGUAUUUCCCACAUGAUUUUCUCUCUUUCUUCAUUUUGAUAUUUCAAUUAUUAAAAUAAAGUAAUAAUAUUACUCACACAAUACCAUAAAAUUCAUCGGAAUUUAAAAUUUUUAAUUUAGAAAUUUUGGCCAUGCAUGGUCUACAACCGUGAAAGAGGUCCCAGAAAAACACGAGUCCAAAGCUACUUGGACUUCUCCAUAAAUCAAGUGGAAAAUUGAUAGAUCAGCAGGAAAACUAACGUAGCAUUUCGUUAAAAAUAAACUCUAUUUUCGGCUAUUCCUCAAACAGUGUUUUAAGAUUGUAAGGCUUCACGAUGUCAAGACUUCCACUCCACAUUAGCUUCGCAAAUUGAUUGUUGGCACUCUCAGUUGGAUGAGCCGGAUCAAAGAAGAAAUAUUCACUUGCAUUGUCGCAUAAUUGAUAUCCUUUCUGACCACAAGUAGGGAAGCUUCUGUAAGGACCACUGCCACAACAUGCCUCUUGAACCUCCUUGAAACCUUCAUAUAUAGAGAAAUCACAUUUAAAUUCAUAACAAGGACAGGAAAUCUAUAUAGGGACCUUGAUUUUAAUUAUUUAAUACUUAUAGACAGGCAUUACCAUAUUUUUAUUAAUUCUCUCCCUUCCUGCAACAUAGGCAUCAAAAAUUGAGUAUCUAAAUCCUUCUAGUUGUCCCUCAAGCUCUUUGAGUGCUUUAGGGAGUGCUCUGUUGUGUAGUUUUGCAAACAUUGUAGCUUCAUCCAAGCAACCUGACACCCCUGUUCUUUCCUGUUUAGCUGCUCUCAAGGAUGGUAGACAACCCAAAGCAAUCAACGUUGACAAUCCAAAUUUCCUUCCUCCUAUCUUGUAUAUUUCCUGGAACAGUACAAUUACGCAAUCAUAAUCCAAGAUCAACUUGGAAAGAAGAGAAAGAAUGGUUCUUUAGCAUGCUAAAUUACUUGGAUCACUGUUGUUAUAUUGCCAAUAACCAUCCCAACAUACUCUUCUCUUGAAUAUAAUUGAAGCAAACUGUGCGUUGGUGUUAGAGCUGCAAAGUAGUCAUUGCCUCCAAUGCUGAACAUGUAAACUGCUGUGGACAGCAAGUUUUUAGCUUCUGCUUCACCUAGUUGAAGCCUUAACUGCCUUUUCAUAUGCUUGAAAUAGCUUAGUUGAGUGCUAAGGUUUAUCACCUUCAAAGAAAAGGGGAAAAAAUGAAAAACCGAAAAAAAAAAAAAACAGUUAUGGAACAUAUCUAAGACAGUAAACUUUGUGUUCUUGACAUACCCAUCCAUGAUGAGUUUCAACAAGAGCACCAGCUCCAGAUGAUGCAAAGUUCACUCCAUUUAUAAAUCGAUGAUUACUGGAUUGUAGAUGUUGUUGUAUUUCAGAGCUUAUCACCUUGAAAACAAUCAUUGAAUCUCAUUAUUCCUUUAGAAGAUUUAAGAGAGAUCUCGAGUUUAAUUAAUUUAUAAAAAGACGAAAAGUGGUGGGGAUCAAUAACAUUGAAGACCCCACCAAGAAAAAACAACAUCAUGAUGACAGACAUACCAUUCCUUGGAGAUUUUCAGCGAGAACAAGAUCCCCUUUUGACUCAAAGUUUUCUCCAUCCAUAAAUUGAUGGUUACCAGGUUGUAGAUAUGGCGGAAUUAAAGGUAAAUUUGCAUAUUGAGCUGUCACAAAACAUUUCAUAAAAAUAAGAAAAGAAAGAACAAAAAAGAAUGAAUUAAAGUGCUCUUAACUGUAAUGAUCUUACCAAUAAAAUCUGGAAUUAAUCGACCAUCACAAGGCCUUCCUGUGGGAUGCUUGAAGAAGGUUCCAUACCAUACAGAAAUCUGAAAAGAUAGGAGCAUCUUCGAUGUACUUGUUGUUUCCAGCAUCAUAUAAUGAAUCUCCAAAGAUAAAUAAGGCAACAUGCUUAGAACCAUGGCAGCUUCUUGCAACCAGAAGGCUUGCACAAAACACCAAGAAACAAUUCUUAAUAUUGGACCUUGAAAUACUGUUAUAUAAUUGUAUAAGGAUUGAUAAUAUAUUUUUUAGUUAGAAAGAAAAAUUUAUUUGUAAAUUUAAAAUUUGAAGUAUAUAUUUAAUAAAAUAAAUUAAAAAUUAUAAGUGCUAAUAAAUAUAUAAAAAAUAAGUUGUCAAGGUGAAAACAAAUACAAAUUAAAAUAUUCGAUUUUACAUUAUAAAGAACCCUUCAAUUAUUUAUAUUUAAUUAUAUAACAGUAUUUUAAUUAUAAAAAUAAUAAUUUAAAUUUUGUUUAAACAAAAUAAUUUUCUAUUAUAUUUCCUUCUUUUAUUAAUACUUUUAAUUUCAGUAAAAAAAAUUAACUUUUUGUUGCUUGUCUUUCAUUUAAUAAAAAUUAAAAGAAAUUAGAAUACAUAUCCAUAGGAUUUUGGAUGAUUUAAAAUAAAAAAAAAAUAUCUCUCUAAUUAGAAUCUGUUUGCCUAGCUGACACGCUCAUUUAAAAAAAAAAAUCUUUAUCAGAAUAUUUAAUUUUUAGAUAUUAUUUUAUCAUUAUCUUAAAACAAGUUUGAAUGAUUAUAAAACACAUUUUGAUAACCUAGAAAAUAAUAAUUUAAUAAACAUCCUUAAAACUUAAAAAAAUAAUAAUUUAUUAGCCCAAAAAAACCUAAAACAAUUGUCCAAAAUAAAAAAAGUAAAAAUCAUGAAAAAAAGUUUUCUUUAUCUUUUGAGUAGUUUUUAAUAUCUUGAGCUCUACCUCACUUGUCUCUGAUGAUUGAUUAUUAUAAAAAAUUUCUAUAGCUCCCAAUUUCCAAGAUUAUAGUAUGAGGCGACAAGGCAAGUGGCUGUGUUUUUUCAAAAAUACAAUCAAAGGCAGUAAGACACGAUUAUGCUGAAAAAAUUCUUAUGGUAAGCUUUGGUUGGUUUAGAAAAAUAUGCUUGAUUCAUCACGUUUCUCCACCAAUAAAAGUGUUGGCAUGAAAACAAGUAGAAUUAAUGAGAUUGUGUAUAGAAAAAUAUAUAAAAUAUUUGCACAAUAAAAAAAAGAAUAGAAGAAAAAAUAUAUAAAAUAUACAUAAAAAUAAAAAAUAUAUCUAAAAAGAACCUAAGUAUUUUUUUGGCUGGGCUCGAAAUCAUACCCAACUGUCUAGAUCCGAUAGUUUUUAUUUUAGCUGAUAUGAUCAUUAUGAUUGUAAGAAAUUGUUCAAUAAGAGUUAUUAUCUUAUAUAAGAUUUAAAAAUUCAAAAUCUUUAUUUUAUAACUUCUAAGUUUUGAGUACAUUAUUAUUAUUAUUAUUAUUAAUAUAUGAAAUGAAUGACUAUUAAAGUUAUUAAUUAGAUGUUAGACUGGUGGCGGAAAUCGUAAUGGCGGCUAAUAUUUCAAGUCGGCUUGAAUAUUACUGCUCGACGGCUUAGCUAGGUAGAUAGCUCAAGCUCAACUCAAGCGGGUGAAAUAUGAUUGUUACAGAUUGUAACAGCUAAAUCCAGCUAGAGAGGAGUAGGAAUCCAGGAAAAAAACAAUCAACGGCUAGGAUUGGGUUGGGUAUUUGAGAAUGGGUCCGCUUCCUGUCCAGGAGAGAGGGGGGAAGAAGACUUGGUUGGUUUUCUUUCUCUCUCCACAAGGCAAGGAAAAAAAUGAAAUCAAGGUUGUCAAUUCUAUUUUGAUAUGUAUUUUAUUUAUUUAAUUGAAAUGAAAUAUUUUAGUUUUGAAGUAUUUUAAUAUAUUAUUUUGGAGUUGUACUGUUUAUAUAUAUAAUUCAAAUUAAUUAAUUAUAACAUAAUUCAAAUUUAAGAUAAAUUAAUUAUAAAUUAUGCAAUACAAACACAAUGCCAAACAAAUAUAAUUUCAAAAUUUAAAAUAUUUUUAAAUAGUCAAGAUUAAAUAAAUCUUUAACUUAAAGUAAUUCAACUUAAACAAAAUAUCAAAAUAUUAUGAAAGUAAAAUGUUUUAAUAAAAAUAUUUUAAAUAUAAAAUUAGGUUAAUGUUAUCAAGUGGUUAAUGGAAUCUAAAGCUUCCCUUGUUUUGCUCAAAUUCCUACAAAGUAUAAAUAUGAAAAAAAAAAUAACAUGAAUAUAAACCAUAUAUAUUAGUGAUAAAUCUAAUUUUAAAAAAUUAAUAUUAUUGUUAAUGAAAAUAGUAAUAAUAAUUUUCAAUAUUAUUAUUAAUAUCAUUGCUAUUGAAAAUAGUAAUGAAAAAGAGCUUUUUUAUAAUCAGGUGGUUUAAUUAAUGAAAUUAAGUAAGGUUCAAUUUGAUUCAAUGACUUUUUAAGAGUGGAACGAAACAUGUGGAAUGAAACUGGAACGUUUCGGGCGAAAUUUAGCUGAAAAAUCCAGAAUGGACCGAGAUUUAAAAUUAGAUGAAAUUUGUUCCGUUUUUUGAAUUAAUAUGGAAUGUUUCGGCCAUUCUGGACGAAACGGAACGGAAUUGACAACCUUUAAUGAAAUAAAAUGAUGGUGGUUUUCUGGGACCCGUGUAUCCCCUGAAAUUGAAAGACCAUACGACCACGUGUUGCCGGUAAGGUCACUUUCAAUAUUCAUCCCCAUCCUCAUCCUCAUCCCUAUGGUCUAAAUUAUAAAACUAAGUCCUUUUAGUUUUGAGAAAUGAAUUAAUUAGUUAUUUUUUAAAAAAAAUAAAUUAUUUAGUCCUUUUUGUUCAUUUAUGUUUUUUAUUUUUUAAAAAAUAAAAGAAAGGAAAUGAAUAAAUAAAUAUUAUAAAAAAGUAACCUGGUCAAUGAACUAGGUAAUUUAUUUUUUUAAAAAAAGAUUAAUUAAUUUAUCUUUUAAAAAUAGAGAAACUGUUUUUUACGAGAAUUCACAUUUUUUUAUAUCCAAUAUGUAUAUUUAUGCUCUAAAACAGACAUCGGUUAUGAGAAGAUUUGACAAAAAUACCGACAACAUUGACAAAAAAAAAAAAAACACUAAUUGAGAAUAUUUUGAAAUGUUUGGAACCUAAUUGAAAAAAUUCAUAGGUUUUAAAUGUAAUUGAGAAUGGAUAUACAAGUUGGAGAGUAACAUGAGGGUUUCCCUAUAAUAGCAUGUUUUAAAUUAUAUAUACUUAUAAUUUUUAAAUUUUAAUUUCAUCGUUUGAUUUUUGAACAAAUAAAAUAUGUAUAAUUGGACCAGGUCUAAAGAUUAGAUGGGAUCAAACCAAUAAGAAGCCUGAGAAAGUCCACGAAGAAAAACCAGCUAACAUUGCAAUGAGGACUUGUUUCAACAGUUAGAAUGACAAAAAACCCAGCUAACAUCGGCAAAUAUAGGUUCAAAUUACCAGUUUACAUACCUGACGUCCACUGUGCAUAAAAAUAUCUGUAUUUAAAAUGAUUUUUAUAUUUGAUCCUAUUAUUACAUACCUAACGUCCACUGUGCAUCAAAAAAUUACCUGGAACUAUUAAAAGAUGUUUUUAUUUAUAAUUUUUUAAAAUAUAAAAACAUGUUAGAGAAGUUGUGUAUAUACAUAUUAUUGCUGAAAAAAAUAUCUUUAUUUAAAAUGAUUUUUGUAUUUUAUCCUAUUAUUUUGUACCAUUAGAGAAGACAACACAAUAAAACUAUAUAGGUGAUGAGACAAAGGGAUAAAAUGGGGAUCCAAAAACAUUUUAAAUAUUUGUUAGUAAAUUAAAAACACCAGAAGCCAAUAAAUUAUAGUGUUGAUUAUAAAAAUAAAGGUAUUAAGUUAUAAUUUUGUUUAAAAUGCAAGGGAUAAAUUUACACCACAUCCAUUUAAUAAUUAUUAUUAACAUAUAUUGAAAGACCUUGAUAUUUCAUUAUAGCAAUAAACAGUGAAAUGUGAUAGCCUUAGUUUGGUCCUCAAGAUUUACUAAAAGAUCUUAGCAUUUUAUUAUUGCAAUGAACAUUAAAAUGCUUUGACCUUUUACAAUUUGAUCCUCGAGGUUUUUUAUUUUAUUUUUUGCAAUUUCAUCUUCUGACAUUAAAUUUAAUGGACAUUGAACUUUAUAGUUUAUUUUGAUUUAUUUUCUAUGAAGUUAUCUUAGUCUUAUAAUCUAAGUUUUAACAAGUUAAUACGAGUUUACUCGACUAUUUUUUUGUAUUUUUUUUUAAAUUUAACUUCAUCCUUCAGUAUUGAGUUGAUUGAGAAUUUGAUUUGAUUUUUUUUUAUUUGUUUUAUAUAGGGUUAUCAUGGUCUCGUGACCUGGAUCACAAGUUUUGCGAGUUAGCCAAUUUGAUUGGAAUUUUUUUAGGUCCUUUGUUCUUUUUAAUUGAAUUUUUUUUUCAAUUUCAUUAUUCAAAUUGAAAAUUUGAAUUCAGAAUUUUUUUUUAUUUCAAAGUUAUCCCGGUCUCAUGAUUGAGGUUUGAUAGGUUAACCGAGUUUGAAUCAAUAUUUUGUUUUUUUUUUAAUUGAUUUUUUUUUCAAAUUAAUCCUUCAACAUUGAGUUGAUUGGAAAUUGUGCUUUAUAAUUUAUUUUUAUUUAUUUUCUAUAGAUUAUCAUGGUUUCAUGACCCAAGUCGCAGGUUGCUUGAUUGCCUCGAGUUUUUUUUUCUUUUUUUUAAUUAUUUUUUUUCAAUUUCAUCCUUCAAUAUUGAGUUGAUUAAGCAUUAGAUUUCAUAAUUUAUUAAGCAUUAGAUUUCAUAAUUUAUUUUGGUUUGUUUACAUGAAGUUAUGACAACCUCAUGACUUAAGUCACAAGUUUGGUUGGUUAACUCAAGUGGUUUUUUCGUGCUCUUUUUUUAAUUGAUUUUUUUUUCAAUUUCAUCAUUUAAAAUUAGAUUGAUUGAGAAUUGAGCUUCAUAAUUUAUUUAAGUUUUUUUCUAUAUAGUUAUCUCAUUCUCAUAACUAAGAUAACCUAGGUUGACUCGACUUCUUUUUCUAAUUGAUUUUUUUUAAUUUUAUUAUUUAAUAUUGGAUUAAUUGAGAAAUGAGCUUAAUGAUUAUUUUUUAUUUACUUCUACAGGGUUAUCAAGGUUUUAUGAUAUGAGUUGGAGAUUUGAUAGGAUAACUUGAGUUGAUUCGAGUGAAUCCAAAUCGAUUUGAGUAAAUCUAAGUAGAUACAAUAUAUUAUUGUCUUACUAUUUUAAAAAUAAUAUCGUGCUGAAUUUUUUUUUGUCAAGUUACAUUUUUACCUGUUAUUUAAGUUGUUUUUAGAUCUAUAAAGUUGAUUAUAUCAUAUCAGGACAGUUUUUAUAUAAUUUAUUUAUUUAUUUUUGCUAGAAAAUAUAUUAAAUAAAUUACUUCAUCAACUUUGCCAAUAAAAACAUGAUAGGUUCGAAUCAUUUUCCAUUUAUAAUAGUGUUUAGAUAAGUGAAUGACCUCAUCAACUUUGCUAUUAAAAACAUAAUACGGGCAACCGUGUGAUUAUGGUUUGGAUCCAGGUCGGGACAAGUGCUGGAGUUCAUGAUCGUGACCACCUAGCAUCUUCGAAUAAUUCUCCUCUAUCACCCUUUUUUUUUUUAAUGCUUGUUUGGAAUAAGUUUUUGAGAUUAGUUGUGAUUAUGAUGUCAUUCUACUGUCAUUAAGAAUAAAUUAACUCUAACCGAGGAUUAAAACAGAUUUAUCAAAUACUUUUUGCACUGUGUCUAGCUAAUGGAGAAUAUAUUGAAAAGAAAAAUACCCUUGAGAAUUCACAGCCAAAAGCGUUAAUCACGUUUCUGUUUAAAACAGGAAAAGGCAUGCAAUAAUUGACAAAUGUUGCUUGAAAUCACAGCUAUCUUCCUUCUCUGAAACUUCAAUUGCUUUAUUAUACUUUUAUAGGCAUAGCCAAGUCAAGCCUGCACCGUGUGGAGCCUAAUCAAUAUAAUCAGAGACUGCUGUUUGCCUUUUCCAUUUUUCAUCUCAUACUGCUCUGUCUUCUCAAUAUUUACUUGCCAUUUCUUGCUCACCUCCCCUGCUUUUAGUUUUCCUUGCACCUUUUCUACCUCUUCUUUUCCAUUCCAAAACAAGCUAUGGCUGAUGCUAUUGUUUCUGCUCUCGCGAGUACAAUCGUGGGGAACUUAAAUUCCUUAUUUCUUCAAGAGCAUGGACUUGCUGGGGGCCUAGAGACUGAGCUUGAAAAUCUCAAGCGCACAUUCAGAACCAUUCAAGCUGUGCUGCAAGAUGCAGAGGAGAAGCAGUGGAAGAGUGAGCCUAUCAAGGUGUGGCUCAGCGACCUAAAGGAUGCUGCUUAUGUUGUUGAUGAUGUACUGGAUGAGUUUGUAAUUGGAGCUAAGUGGCUUCUGCAGCGAAGAGAUCUCAAAAAUCGAGUAAGAUCCUUCUUUUCUAGCAAACAUAAUCCAAUUGUUUUUCGACAAAGGAUGGCUCAUAAAUUGAAGAAUGUUAGAGAAAAACUAGAUGCCAUUGCCAAGGAGAGACAAAAUUUCCACCUAACAGAGGGGGCUGUGGAGAUGGAAGCAGAUAUUUUGUUCAGCGUCAGACUUGGUCUUCGGUGAAUGAAUCAGAAAUUUAUGGAAGAGGCGAGGAGAAAGAGGAACUAAUCAACAUGCUGCUCACUACUUCAGGUGAUCUCCCUAUUCAUGCUAUAAGGGGGAUGGGGGGGCUGGGUAAAACAACACUUGUUCAACUGGUCUUCAAUGAAGAAAGUGUUAAACAACAAUUCAGUUUGAGGAUCUGGGUGUGUGUAUCUACUGAUUUCGAUCUCAGAAGAUUAACAAGAGCCAUCAUAGAGUCCAUUGAUGGUUCCCCUUGUGGUCUUCAAGAAUUGGAUCCCUUGCAACAAUGCCUCCAACAAAAGUUAAAUGGAAAGAAGUUUUUGCUUGUAUUGGAUGAUGUGUGGGAUGAUUAUGGUGAUAGGUGGAAUAAAUUGAAGGAGGUAUUAAGGUGUGGAGCUAAAGGUAGUGCUGUCAUAGUAACUACGCGUAUUGAGAUGGUUGCUCUUAGAAUGGCAACAGCUUUUGUCAAGCACAUGGAGAGAUUGUCUGAAGAAGAUUCUUGGCGGUUGUUUCAACAGCUUGCAUUCGGGAUGAGAAGGAAAGAGGAGCGGGCACGUCUGGAAGCCAUUGGAGUAUCAAUAGUGAAGAAGUGUGGUGGUGUUCCUUUAGCUAUAAAGGCACUCGGGAACCUAAUGCGGUUAAAAGAAAGUGAAGAUCAGUGGAUAGCUGUCAAAGAAAGUGAGAUUUGGGAUCUAAGAGAAGAAGCAAGCAAGAUCUUACCUGCUUUGAGGUUGAGUUACACUAAUCUAUCACCACAUUUGAAGCAAUGCUUUGCGUAUUGCGCUAUAUUUCCAAAAGAUCACGUGAUGAGGAGGGAGGAGCUGGUUGCUUUGUGGAUGGCAAAUGGCUUUAUUUCUUGCAGAAGAGAAAUGGAUUUGCACGUCAUGGGCAUUGAGAUAUUCAAUGAACUAGUGGGAAGGUCAUUUCUGCAAGAGGUCGAGGAUGAUGGAUUUGGCAACAUAACAUGUAAAAUGCAUGAUCUUAUGCAUGAUCUUGCACAAUCCAUUGCAGUACAAGAAUGCUAUACGACAGAAGGCGAUGGGGAGUUGGAAAUUCCUAAAACUGCCCGUCAUGUUGCUUUUUAUAACAAAUCAGUAGCUUCGUCUUCUGAAGUUCUCAAGGUCCUAUCACUUCGCUCACUUCUUGUGAGGAAUGAACAGUAUGGGUAUGGAUGGGGAAAGAUUCCUGGUCGAAAACAUCGAGCCUUGAGUUUAAGAAAUAUCCGGGCCAAGAAAUUGCCGAAGUCAAUUUGUGAUUUGAAACAUCUAAGGUAUCUAGAUGUGUCAGGCUCGUUCAAAACACUGCCUGAAAGUACAACCUCUCUCCAAAACCUCCAGACACUAGAUCUGAGUUCUUGCAGCGAACUCAUCCAAUUACCAAAAGGUAUGAAGCACAUGAGAAAUCUUGUCUAUCUUGACAUAACGGGUUGUUAUUCACUUCGAUUUAUGCCUGCUGGAAUGGGGCAAUUGAUAUUCCUGCGAAAACUUACCCUGUUCAUUGUGGGUGGGGAGAAUGGUCGUCGCAUAAGUGAGCUGGAAGGGCUGAAUAAUCUUGCUGGUGAAUUGAGUAUCACAGAUCUUGUGAAUGUUAAGAAUUUAAAAGAUGCCACAAGUGCCAAUUUGAAGUUGAAGACAGCUCUUUUAUCACUGACUUUAUCUUGGCAUGGUAAUGGAGAUUACCUUUCUUACCCUUGGUUAAUUGUGCCACCGCAACAAAGAAAGAGUGUUAUUCAGGUAAAUAACGAGGAGGUCCUUGAAGGGCUUCAACCUCAUUCAAAUCUGAAGAAGUUGAGGAUAUGGGGAUAUGGAGGUUCAAGAUUUCCUAAUUGGAUGAUGAACUUGAACAUGACGCUACCAAAUCUGGUAGAGAUGGAGCUAUCAGCAUGUGACCACUGUGAACAACUUCCACCAUUGGGGAAACUGCAGUUCCUCAAGAGUCUUGUAUUGCGUGGAAUGGAUGGUGUGAAGAGUAUUGACAGCAAUGUGUAUGGAGAUGGGCACAAUCCAUUCCCAUCUUUGGAGACGCUGACUUUUAAGCACAUGGAGGGAUUAGAGCAAUGGGCUGCGUGUACUUUUCCUCGCCUUCGAGAAUUGGAGAUAGUCGGUUGCCCUGUGUUGAACGAAAUACCAAUUAUACCCUCCAUCAAAUCACUGCACAUCGAGGGAGUGAAUGCUUCGUUGCUGAUGUCAGUUAGGAAUCUCACUUCGAUCACUUCUCUUUAUAUUAGAGGGAUUGACGAUGUGAGGGAGCUUCCCGAUGGGAUUUUGCAAAAUCAUACCCUCCUUGAAAGCUUCCAUAUUAGUGAGAUGCGAGAUCUGGAGUCUUUGUCAAAUAGGGUAUUAGAUAACCUUUCUGCACUUCAAAAGUUGGAGAUAUGGGGUUGCGAGAAACUUGAAAGCUUGCCAGAGGAAGGUCUUCGUAACCUCAAUUCCUUGGAGGUUUUAGAGAUAUGUAGAUGUCCAAGAUUAAAUUGUCUGCCAAUGAAUGGGUUGUCUGGCUUAUCUUCUCUUCGGGAGUUACUUUUUCAACAUUGUGUUAAAUUAACAUCUCUCACUGAGGGAGUGCGGCAUCUGACGGCACUUGAGGAUUUGUUACUUAAUGGAUGUCCAGAGCUAAAUUCAUUGCCAGAGAGUAUCCAACUUCUCACUUCUCUCCAAUCUCUAAGAAUAUGGGACUGCGAGGGAUUAACUUCUUUGCCAAAUCAGAUUGGAUAUCUCACUUCUCUCCAAUCUCUACAUAUAUGGAACUGCAAGGGAUUAACUUCUUUGCCAAAUCAGAUUGGAUAUCUCACUUCUCUCCAAUCUCUACUCAUUGAGGGUUGUCCAAAUUUGAAGAAAAGGUGUGAGAAAGAUUUAGGCGAAGACUGGUCUAAGAUAGCUCACAUUCCUAAUAUUAGUAUAAAUUGAUAUGCAAAAUUGUUAAAAUAAUUUCUCAUUAACAUUGAAUGAGAAUAAAAUAUAUAUUUUCUUAGUUUUAAUUUGUUGUAAUUGUUUAAAUAACUUUAACAAAGAUUAAUUUCUUUGUAUCCUAAAUUGAAAAUGUUUGGAUUUGCGAGCUUUGUCAUUCAAGAUCGCUGUGCGCUUCACGUGGAAAUACACUCGCUCGAUUGCCUAUAGUUGACCCAGCCUUUUAUCCAUUAUAUUUUAUUUCGAUCAAAACGACCUUUUCAUGUAAAAUUUUCUAAACUUAAAAUACGCAUCGCUCGCACCAGAAAGUAUAUAGAGAGCAUCAAUACAAACAAACUGGAAAAUCGAAAUCUAAUCCAUCCAAAUAAUAAACUUAUUACAAAACAAUGGAGACGGCAAUUUGAGUAACAAUUCAAGACUGUAAUUUAACAAAAAGCUUCAUGAUGCUUUAUGAAAUGAAAAUUGUUUACACAAAACAAUAAAGAAUGAGCUCAUAAGCAUGGUCUUUUAGUCUGUAUGAAGACGUAAUUUUACUUAAUUAAUUGAAACUAAUAAUAUUAAACAAGAGGAGCUAAUUGAUUGAGUCUUGGAUCGAGACGUAAUGUUACUUAAUUCUGAAUCAAUUGGUUAUAUGUACUUAAUUUGCUUGUUUGUAUCACUAAUUACUACUGCCUCCCGGCGUAAAUCUCAAGGGAAGUGGAAUUAACAAAGAUUAAUAUCAUAAUCUAAACUUCAUUUCUUGCAAGCAAUAUAAUAAAACUAUACCCAAGUCUCAGGUUUAAUUUAGUUUCCCUUUGAUUUUCAGCUCCACAACCAUUAUCUUUUAGAUAGCCAAAGGUCAUUUUCCAGGCUAAAAGACCACUAAAACUCGCAACGUCCACUGCCAAAACAGAAAUAUCCCAUGAUUUUCCUCAAGGCCUUUUCAAGGUAUACAAAGAUGGCCGCAUAGAGAGAUAUUGGAACAUUGACUUCGUUUCAGGAGGCGUCGACACAGAAACAGGGGUCCAUUCCAAAGAUGUUGUGAUCUCACCAGUGACCAACGUCAAGGCUCGUAUUUUCCUCCCAAAAAUCGACGGCCCAGCUAAAAAGCUCCCUCUCCUCGUCCACUAUCAUGGUGGUGGCUUUUGCAGAGGCUCACCAUUUACUUCUGCCUUGAAGAAUUUUCUUUCAACCCUAGCCACCCAAGCCGAUGUCACCGCUAUAUUGACUACAGGUUAGCACCUGAACACCAAUUACCGAUUGCAUACGAUGAUUCAUGGGCAGGGCUUAAGUGGAUCGUGAAGCACUCUAAUGGUAAUGGACCCGAACCAUGGAUUAAUGAAUAUGCGGAUCUCGGGCGGGUUAUUUUAGCCGGCGAGAGUGCUGGAGGCACCAUAGCCCAUUAUGUGGCUGUCCAAGCUGGGGCUGCGGGAUUGGCUGCCGUGGCUAUAGAAAGGUUACUAAUAGUGCACCCAUAUUUUUGGGCUAAGGAGCCAGACAAGUUCUACCAAUAAAUAUGUCCAACAAGUUCUGGGGCAGAUGAUCCAAAAUUGAACCCGGCAGUGGAUCCGAAUUUGUCGAAAUUUAAGUGUGAUAAAGUGUUAGUUUGUGUGGCAGAAAAAGGAUAAGCAUAGAGGCAGAGGUAUGGCUUAUUAUAAGCUAUGAGCGAGUGUGGAUGGGGUGGUACUGUGAAUUUUUAUGAAACUGAAGGGGAGGACCAUUGCUUUUAUUUGCUGAAUCCCAAGAGCGAGAAUAUCGAGCCCCUGGUGAAAAAAAUUGUUGAUUUCAUACGGCUGGAUUGAUUUUUUGAGUUUUAUUAAGUGGGAAUCAACAACUUAAUUUUCAGCAAUGGUGAGAGCAGAAAAAUAAUGGUUGAAUUUAAGUUUGUUUGGAUUGUAUUUUGUUUUUUAAUUUUUUAAUAUAUGUACUUUCAAAUGCCAUAUAAAAUGUGCCAUUAUGUUUAUUGCAUUCUUUUGGGCCAUUUUGGCUUGGCAGCACUUUUGUUUUUUAAAUAUUGGUGAAAUAAUACAAAAAAAAAUAAAAAAUAGUGAAAUAAUACAAUUUAUACAUGUCAAUGAAUGGAAAAUGCAAUAUAACUCAGUUUAUGCAGGUCGUGAUUGAAAAAUACUAUACUUAUAACUUGUUGCUAUUAGAAUAACAACUUCUAUAAAAACAUUUAUGAAAAAAACAAGAAACAUAAGAGAGAAAGGAAUCUAAAAAGGAAAGGAUAACUCUUAAAAAGAAUGCCAUCAACAAUAAUCCAAGUGAGUUACAUUUGUUUCUACAGAUGACGAAUAACUUACUUGCUUUUGGUGCUAAUUGUAAUUGUGAUUCACUAGGAUUGUUGUCGUUGAUCUUAUUUGUUGUUAUUGUAUUUAUCCCGUCAAAAUCUUUUUGUUGUUGUAGAAGUCAUUAUUCUGAAUAGCAACAAGCUAUAAAUAUCGUGUUUUUCUAAUUGCGACAUGUACAAACUAUGAUAUUGCACUAAUUAUUUUUAAUUAUAUGUUAUUCUACUAAUAUUCUUCAUUUAAUGUGCUAUUUUUUUUAAUCAUUCUUUCGCUUCCCUUAUUUCUUCAUUCUAGGUGCAAACAAAGUAAAAUAUCAUAAAGUAAAUAUUUCAUGUUUAUAUUUAGUCAACUAAUUUGGUUUAAUUAAAAAAAUACCUUUUUAAAAGCCAACUUUAAUAAAGAACAACAAUAAAAAAAAACCCUAAAAUAACCCAAGUUAUUUUCCAAAUUAAUGAGAAAUCUUGUAGAAAACAAAUAAAAAUAUAAUGGAGUUCAAUAUUUAAUUAAAUAAAUACUAAAAGAUAAAAUUAAAAAAAACACAAGUUUAAAAAAAAGAAAAAAAAAAGAGUAAGCAAACUUAGAAAUAUUUUCUAAACCUGAAUUAAUAUUUCAAAUUCAGAAAUCAUAAAAUUCUAGACUCCAACUUAAUAUAAAAACUCAAUCUCUAAUUAAUUUAAUAUUAAAUAAUGUAAUAAAUUUUCUCGAAUGGGAUUAAUCUUACCAUUUAAAAAAAGUGUGAUGAUACUCGGGUAAGAAAAAAAAAUGUUAGAAAAACUUGAAAUUUUGACGUUUGAAUAUAUAUUCAAUUUUGACGUCUUCAAGAUCUUGGACUUGCUGGGGGCCUAAGGACCGAGCUUGAAAAUCUCAAGCGCACGUUCAGAACCAUUCAAGCUGUGCUGCAAGAUGCAGAGGAGAAGCAGUGGAAGAGUGAGCCUAUCAAGGUGUGGCUCAGCGACCUCAAGGAUGCAGCUUAUGUUGUUGACGAUGUACUGGAUGAGUUUGCAAUUGAAGCUCAGUGGCUUCUGCAGCGAAGAGAUCUCAAAAAUCGAGUAAGAUCCUUCUUUUCUUUUGGUCAUAAGCCACUAGUUUUUCGAUUGAAAAUGGGGCUUAAAUUGAAAAAUGUGAGAGAAAAACUGGAUGCCAUUGCCAAUGAGAAAAACAAGUUCAAUUUAACACCACGAGUUGGGGACACAGCAGCUGAUACCUACGAUUGGCGGCUUACCAGCUCACUCGUGAAUGAAUCAGAAAUUUAUGGAAGAGGCAAGGAGAAAGAAGAACUAGUUAACAUCCUGCUCGCAAAUUCAGACAACCUCCCUAUUUAUGCUAUAUGGGGAAUGGGGGGACUCGGGAAAACAACACUUUCUCAAAUGGUCUACAAUGAAGAAAGGGUUAAACAACAUUUCAGUUUGAGGAUCUGGGUGUGUGUAUCUACUGAUUUCGAUGUAAGAAGAUUAACAAGAGCCAUCAUAGAGUCCAUUGAUGGUGCUUCAUGUGAUAUUCAAGAAUUGGAUCCCUUGCAACAACGCCUCCAACAAAAGUUAACUGGAAAAAGGUUUUUGCUUGUAUUAGAUGAUGUGUGGGAUGAUUAUGAUGAUAGGUGGAAUAAAUUGAAAGAGGUAUUAAGGUCCGGAGCUAAAGGUAGUGCUGUGUUGGUAACUACGCGUAUUGAGAUGGUUGCUCGUAGAAUGGCAACAGCUUUUGUCCAGCACAUGGGGAGAUUGUCUGAAGAAGAUUCUUGGCAUUUGUUUCAACGGCUUGCAUUUUGGAUGAGAAGGAAAGAGGAGUGGGCACACCUGGAAGCCAUUGGAGUAUCAAUAGUGAAGAAGUGUGGUGGUGUUCCUUUAGCUAUAAAGGCACUCGGGAACCUAAUGCGGCUAAAAGAUAAUGAAGAUCAGUGGAUAGCUGUCAAAGAAAGUGAGAUUUGGGAUCUAAGAGAAGAAGCAAGCAAGAUCUUACCUGCUUUGAGGUUGAGUUACACUAAUCUAUCACCACAUUUGAAGCAAUGCUUUGCGUAUUGCGCUAUAUUUCCAAAAGAUCACGUGAUGAGGAGGGAGGAGCUGGUUGCUUUGUGGAUGGCAAAUGGCUUUAUUUCUUGCAGAAAAGAAAUGGAUUUGCAUGUCAUGGGUAUUGAGAUAUUCAAUGAACUAGUGGGAAGGUCAUUUCUGCUAGAGGU
rnacentral:lncRNA from 1 species